CGUUCGUUACGCGAAAUCGUAAGAGAAGCAUUUUUGAGAAAAGGUCUGCGGUGCGACUAGCGAGCAUAUCAUAUUGUUAAGCCAAAUACGGCCAAAAUUAUAGCGACAACCAGCACCGACAAAAUUUGCACCAGUAACGUUUGACACUGUAAUUUUAUAAAAUAAAAUAAUAAAAAAUAAAAAAAUGUAUUUAAAUUUUUGCGCCUUAUGUAAAACAAAAUCAGUAAUUUUUAAUCACCAUAUUAUCAAAUAAAAUCUAAGUCUGAUUAAAUUUGAUUCACAAAUUACGAUGGAAAAAAAAAGGGAAAAAAAAAAAGAAGAAAGAUCCAACGAAUCUGGUGUCACCGCUGACGGCGCCACUGGAAAAGAAACAUAUGAUACCAGACAGCAGACGAAAAAAAUAAUGCGCUCCUCAGGGUACUGCCUGCUGCGGCCGGCAAUUUGCGGAGCUGCUUCUUGCAGUGCUGCCGUCCCACUCCUCCCCCUCCGAAGCCCUUGUCAGAGACGAAGCAGCAGAAGAAGAAACAGCAGAUCGCUCUCCGUCUCGUCCUCCUCCUCCUCCUCCUCCUCCUCCUCUUCGUCAAUGGCAGCCCGCGACAUCGGGGGAUUCCUCUCGAAGCAGCCCUACCAUCCCCCUUCCUGGGCUUCGCACCUCCGCCCCAUCCCUUCCCACUCCCUCUCCCUCGGACACGUACCCGCCCCCUUCUUUGUUCCCCUUUUCUCGAAUUUAAUUUUGAAUUUUGCAGGUCAAUUUAAGGAUCAAUACAAGUAAUUAGGGUAAAUGGAAGCGAAUCAAUAAUUCAUAAUUUAAUAGGGUGUAAAGUUUUUUUUUUUUUUUUUUUUUUUUGAAAAUCAAACCAUUUCUCAAAUUAAUAUGGAGAGUUUAAUUUGAAAAAUUCUAGGGGCCUUCGAAAUGUUAUUUUGUGGUUUAUAUAAUUAAUAUAUUGUACAUCUAUUCUUUCUACAUUAAAGAAGGAUUUGGGAGGACCAUAGGUGACCCAUGUCCCCCUCCCAAACCCUCCUUUAUUCUCUUUCCCCUCCUUUAUUCUCUCUCUACUCUUCUCUCUCUCUCUCUCUCUCUCUCUCUCUCUCUANUAAUUUGUAUCCAAUACGAAACUAAAUGUUAGGUCUACUGUUAGACUGUUGGAUUUGAGGAAGUGGCAGUAGAAUAGUCCGGUUUCUAGCUAAAAUUAUCGCGAAAGAUCAUCAUCUAUGUUAUCAAAGAGUCAUUUUUAGAUGCCUAGCGCGACAAAAGUUUUGUUCGUUGUACUUGUGAUCAGAAUCUCUUAUUAGUGUUGUUAGCAUUAAGAUUAUACCCUUGUUACGUCGAAUGCCCGAGCUCCUGUAUUAGCAUGAUAUACUACUUCUGCAUGUUUCGUUUAGCUAUCUUCUUACACUCUCUUUGGUCGCUCGUCAGCUUCCGACUCCAAUUCACAAGUGGAACCUUCCUAACCUUCCAGAAGGCACUGAAGUCUGGAUUAAGGUUUAACUCGGAAUUAUUAUAAGCUGCUUGAGGAUGUUCACUUGAUUUCGUGCUUUCUGAACCUGGCAUUCUUUUCGAAAUUCUAGCGUGACGACCUCUCAGGAAUGCAAUUGAGCGGCAAUAAGGUCAGGAAACUCGAAUUCUUGAUGGCUGACGCUGUGGCACAAGGAGCGGACUGCGUCAUCACGGUGGGAGGUAUCCAGAGCAACCACUGUCGUGCAACUGCUGUGGCGGCGAGAUAUCUUAAUCUUGACUGCUAUCUGAUACUACGCACCUCCAAGGUUACAAAAAUUAGAAAUGGCUGAAAGUGCAGAUGCUUAAAGUUGAUAUCUUGAUCAGACAUUUUGAUUGACUAAUUGGUACUCUUACAGGUUCUUGUGGAUAAAGAUCCUGGUUUGGUCGGUAAUCUCCUAGUUGAACGCCUAGUAGGAGCACACAUCGAACUUGUUUCAAAAGAAGAAUAUGCCAAAAUAGGCAGCGUGGUUUGUUCACCUCUGUCAUUCCUUAUCGUACUGGCAUUAAUCAAGUCUCUGGGUUUCAGCUAAUUAUACGUUAAGUUUAGACCGAUGUUUCUAAGUCACAUACGUUAAGUUUUCUUUUUCUUGCUGCUUUAAUUUGAUUUCUUACUUAUCAUCAAAUGAUUCGUUACUCUAUUCUUUGGGCCUAGGCUCUUGCCGACAUGCUGAAAAGGAGACUUGUAAAUGAAGGAAGAAAGCCGUAUGUGAUUCCUGUCGGUGGAUCAAAUUCUCUUGGAACUUGGUAUGUCAAUAAGCAAACAAAAUGAAUAACAAUGCCUCUUCCGAUGUCAUAUUUCAUCAUUAUUUUUUUACUUGUUUCCAUUUCCUAAAAAAUAUGCCGAGAAACUGAAACUUGUGGAGAUACCGAAACAUGCCCUGAACUCAUCUAUUGGCAUUUCUUUUCAAUUUUCUUAGCCCUUUGGCUUCUUCUGAAGUACUCGUUACAAUGGUUGCUAUUUCAGGGGAUACAUUGAGGCAAUGCGGGAGAUUGAGCAACAAACCCGUUUAUCUGGUUUUCAGUUUGAUGACAUUGUAGUUGCAUGCGGCAGGUUAUUUUCUUGCCAAGCAAAUUUUUACAUCUUUUAGAAUGCUUAUUAGUUACUAUCCAUAAUUAUAUGAUCCAUGGCCUAAGAGCUUGUUUUUAUUUCGGAACCAUUCUAAUACUGUUAUAUGCUGGAAAGGAGUUUGCAUUAAAGCUGGCUUCCUUUUAUACACUUAGCUAUCGAGAUUUCAGUGUGUUAGCUUCCUGUCAAAUUUGGAGCUGUCACAGAAAGAGCUUCAAAACAGAUAGGAAGUUAAAUGACUUUGCAUAGCACAUACUACAUUUGCACACAUGAGCUAUUUCUCUUUAUGUUUUAAUUAUCCAUCACUCUCCGUAUCUUGUCAAAUUUUACAAAGUUUAAUGUGGAUAUUGCAACGAAUUCAAGUUUAAGGUUUUCUUUUUGACUUCUUCUUUUGAUUUGUAGUGGUGGAACUAUUGCUGGCCUUUCUCUGGGGUCAAGUUUGAGUAGUUUGAAGGCAAAAGUAUGCAACGACAUUAGAUUAGCAGAUUGUUAUUUCAUAGUUACAUAAUUACCUACUAAUCCUUGGUUUGUAGGAUAGGUUCAUGCAUUUUCUGUCUGUGAUGAUCCUGACUACUUCUACGACUAUGUUCAAGGCCUGAUUGAUGGACUUCAAGCUGGUGUCGAUUCACAUGAUAUAGUCGACAUUGAAAAUGUGAGUGGUACUUAACACAAAGUUUCUUACCUUCCAACAAUUCUAGCUAUACCUUUUUUUCUCUUCACAUGAAUGCCUUCUUCGAAAUUUACUUAACAAAGAAAGAAGAAAACUUCGUUUGUGGUUAAUUUGUGUUGUUUUCCUGGAAGAGAAGUCAUAAGUAUCUUUCUAAGCGACAAUAAUAUGACAUUUUGGCUUGUUUGUGUGGUUACUGAACUUAAAUCCUUUUCCCUUCAGUCGGUUUUGCUCAAUUAAUAGUAAUGUAACAGCCUAGAAGCCAUGUAAUGUACAUCAAGCACUAGCUCUAGCAGUUGUGUUUACUCAUGUAUUGCUUGUAAACAUAUCGUGGUUCUUUUGUAUUCUAUGUGUAUAAAAUGUGAAGUUUGUUUGAAGUAAAUGAAAGAUAUAUUUUUUUAUUAUGCCUAACCACUUUUUGAACUAAAAUUUGCCGUGCUACAAGUAAUUUUUUGGCUUCUAUGAUGAUAUUACUGGCAUUUAAGCUUUGUUCUAUCAAGUUGUGAAAUUUGCACUGUCGUUAAAAUAGGCCAAAGGCUUAGGGUAUGCCAUGAACACAGCGGAGGAGCUUGAAUUUGUUAAAAAGAUAGCAGCUGCAACAGGCAUUGUUCUUGACCCAGUCUACAGGUGCGACAGUUUUCAACUAUUUCUAAUUGAGAUUACAGGAAAUGUUUUUUAUGUUUCCCUUUUCUAAACCUGAGAUGUUAUUUUCAAAUAGCAUUUUACAUGAAGUAACUGGUCAUUUUACGAAAUCUUGGCAAUCUGUUUGCAAGAAUAUAGUCUAUAGGGAGAAGUAAAUAAUUCGCACUGCGAAGGAUCUUUUUCAGAUAACCUGCUGACCUUACACUUCCAAUUGAAAGAUCAUGCGGAAAAAAAUGAACUUUUUCCCAUGUUACAUAUUUGAGACAUGACUUAAAACUUGUUUAUCAAGUCAAGUGAUGCCUUUGAAUUUGGUUUAAGUGCCAAAUUUUUUCUUGCUGAAACGAGUAGCUCUUUAGUAUGUACUUGCCUUUCCUAACGCAGUGGAAAAGCUGCAUACGGUAUGUUGAAGGACAUGGACAACAACCCUGCAAAGUGGAAAGGGCGGCGAGUUCUCUUUGUGCAUACCGGCGGCCUCCUCGGGUUGUACGACAAGACCGAACAGAUGGCAUCUCUCGUCGGCAAUUGGCGUAGGAUGGAAGUUGAUGAGUCCGUUCCACGCAAGGACGGGACGGGGAAGAUGUUCUAAUGCUCUACUUCAUCAACUCUCCUUCAAAGUACUUGCUCAAUUUCCCAAUAGGAGCACAGUUUUUUUCGUUUUCUCUUUUCUUUUCCUUCCCUUUUUUUUUUUUUUUUUUUCUCUCAAGGGAUUGUUGUUAAUUAUUUUGGACAUAACGGGUCGAUAUUUGUAAUAAGAUUGGUAAACCAUGAUGCUAAUAUCAUUCAUGCCAAUGUUUUAAAUUUCUGCAUGCCAAUGUUUCAAAUUUCUGGAAUUCUCAAUAUACUACCAUGCAGAAAACAAACGAGAGGGACAUUUGGCCUUUGAUUUCUCAACAAUGUUACUGGUCUUAUUCCACCUGAGGAAUUGGGUUCUGCUUUGCAGUGAAAAGAUAAGGCAAAACAAAAAGCUGGGCAGCAGUGAAUUUUGUCCAAGUGCUUUUGCACCAAGCAGGUAGUUUUGGAAGAAAAAAGGGGUAAAAUGGCUUUCUGCAGCAUGGAAAACCCACCUGAGGAUUUCAAUACAAAAGCUCUACUAUCUUUUUGAACAGUUCCACUCUAAAACAGUACUUCCGCAGAAAUUUCAUAACAGCACUAUACUACAAGAGCUCCUAAGAAGAGAGAGUACAGGUGAUCAAAACAGAUGCAACAUGUAGCAGACUGACAUUUAUUCAGAAGGCACAACACACAGCAGUAAAGCUGAUGGACUGGCAGGGAAGAGUCUAGCCAUCAGCAAUCACCACUAUUCACACUAACACUCACACAAACAUACACGGAUACACCAUAGCAACACACCAGUGUAAUCCCUAAAAAGCACUCCACAACUAGCAAACUCCACUGGUUUUCUUGCGGUCCACCAGUUUCCGCCAAUACUUUGUGAUAUCCUUCUCCAUCUCCUGAACACUCUUCUUGACCAUCGUGCCGGCUGGCUUUUCCUGCACGCUGACAUUCACGAUCUUCGCUAUCUUAUUCGCGUGAUCCUCGAGCUCAUGCAACACCUUCUGGAUGUCGGCGACCAGCCGCUCUGCGAGGCUGCGGCUGAAGUCCUCCCUGAUCACCACGCGGAGGACGGCCACGCGCUCCGCAUCAGGCGGCAUGGUGUACGCAGGCACGAUCCAGCCGAACCUUCUUAAAUUCUCCGAGAUGUCGAAGACGGUGUACUUGCUGCUGUCCUUGAGAGCGAAAGCAACCAACGGCACGCCGGAUUCCUUCGAGACGAUUUCGAAUUGGCCGGUGUUCUCUAUUCCUUCCCUUAGGACUUUUGCGUUCCCCAUGCAGUUCUCCAUGAUGUCCUUAUACCCCUGUUCAAAUGAGAAUGUAAACAUGAUACUACAGAAGCAAUCACAAAAUAAAGACUUCAGUAGUUGCUUUCUGUACUGAAACAAUCAGAAUAAUCAGAGAGAAAUGUACCUCGAAGCCCAACCGAAUAAACUGAUAGUAUUGUGCAAUUAUCUGACUCGAACCUGCAAGAAUUCGCAAAGGAACAUUCUCAGAAAGCUACUCGUUGCGACGAAUCAAAUAGCCAGUUCGAUAAUUCUUGCCUUUAGAGAAGUUGAGAGUGAAUGUAGGCUGAUCUGCUCCAAGAUAGUUAAUAUGGAAAAUGAGCUCUUCGGGCAGAUCGUCCUUCCUCCUCCAGAUGACCCAACCGACACCUGCGUAGACGAGCCCGUAUUUGUGGCCGCUGACAUUAAUGCUCUUGACUAGGGGAAGUCGGAAAUCCCAUUCCAGCUCCGGAUUCAGGAAAGGUGCUAUGAAUCCUCCACUCGCAGCAUCGACGUGGAUAGGCGUGUCCCACCUGAACCACACGAGAAAACACAAGUCAUUGCUGAAAUCUAACAGCUAACACAACGAAUUGUAACAAAAUGUUACAUAGAAGGGAAUCUCAUCUUCUUUUUUUUCGUAUGUGCUUACCCUGUUUCCUUAUUUUUCGCUGUGAGCAGAUCGUUUAACCGCUUUACAUCCUCAAACUCCCCAUUGAGAGUUGAACCCAAGAUGGCCGCAACACAGAUAGUGUUCUCGUCGACCAAUUCCACAGCCUUCUCAGGGUCCAUUACAUAAUAUCCCUCCCUUAACUUAACCUCCUUUAGUUCGACUUCGAAGUACCUCGCAAAUUUCUCCCAGCAAACCUUGUAAAUAGAGAAAACAAGUUAAAGAAGAAAAAAGUUCAAAUCUGAGCUUAAAAGGUAGAAACUACCUGAACAUUGGCGCCGGUGACAAUGUUAGGUUUGUCGUGAGGCUUUCCCUCGGCCUUUCUUUUGUUCUGCCACUUUCUCUUGAAUGCUAAUCCUGCCAGCAUUAUAGCUUCUGAGGAUCCGACAGUUCCAACGCCUACUGCGGUUUCUUCCUCUCCAAUUGGAGCAUGGAAAAGGUGCGCGAUCAUAUUUACGCAGCGGUUCUGCAGGAAACAGAAAGAACAACAAAUUUGAGCAAUGCUAAUCAUGAACUUGACGCAUCACCUAGUACGAUAGAUAUACGGGUGAUUCUCGAAACAAUCUUUUGCACUCUCCCAUGAAUCCUUAAUCAUCAUGUACAACAAUAGACCACAACAAUCAGUAAACAAUGUUUCAUCUCCGACGACAUACCAGAGAAAAUAGAGAAACAGAUGAGUCUAAUGUUGGGCAUAUAAAUCAACACUUUUUUCUGCAAUUCUCUCCAGCUAAAAAGUAUUUGCACAAUUGAUGUCUUAAAGAGUCGAAAACCUUAUUAAAAAUCAGUAGCAAGCCAUAUAAGGCCUGUUGUAAAAUCUCUGAUUGCUGCCUACAGGCACUCUCUUUCUCUCCAAAAUUAACAAAGACUACUGCCGCCCUUAACAAGUAACGAGAAAUCAGUAAAUGUAGGCCUUCAAAGUUCAGAAAACACAGCUAAGAGAACUCAGUAAACAAUCAUUAUACAAGUUUAGCGCACGCGACAAUCUGAUGCUGAAGAAAUCGAACCAAGAUAACAGAUCAUGUAUUAUGAGCACAAAUUCAACUCCAACAACCUAGAUAAAGAAUGUGAGACUACAUUAUGAAACCACAAAUCUACGAAUUGCGUGUUUUUAACAUUAUUGUAAUAUAACUGAAGUAGGAAAACAUAGCAUAUUGAAACAAUUUUUCACUGUCAGAGAUAAUAACUCCUGAUUCAAUUCUGGUCCAGUUCAUCAAAAAACUAGAUAAUUCAAGUUCCAAAUACACUCUAUAACUAAGAUCAAUUCAAUUCCACCAAGAUUUGAUUCAGUUCCAAACAUUGUGCACAUGGUGGGUCCACACAGAACACAUCAGAAAAGAUCCAACUAAGAUAAGAGAGGCAAUGAAUUCAAAAGAUGUCCAACCGCUUUUGAUUGCAACAGAUAUGACAAGACGCGACACUAACCGACAUAAACACUAAUUAGAGUGGGGGACCAAAAUUUAUUCACAUUCACUGUCAAAAAACACCUGUCGACGAAUUUCCACAUCCUAAAACAAGAGCACUAGUGGAUAUUUGGCAAGCAAUUAUUGUAAGGACUUGGUCCAGCAGGUCAGUUGCUGAUAAACUGCAAUGCAUAGCAUCUCUGCUUUCGAUUUCCAUCACAAUUAAAAGGAAAAAAAAUAAUACUAAAUCUUGUGUUAAGAUUGAUAGUAACAACUGGAUGGAUGGCAGAUCAACAGGGUGGUUCACUUCUAAUGCAGCAGACCAGCUCUGGGGAGUAAUUUAUCCUUGUUGGUUUCUAUUCCCAGAACAUAGAACAGAAUUUAUAGAGCUUUUCGCCAACCAAAUACAGUAGAUGUAGGGGCCGGUUGGCCUAGAAUCUCGAAAAGUAAUUUCUGCAGAAUUAAUUUUGGUUUGGAAAAUUAAUUUUCAUUAAAAAAUGUAGAGUGUUUGACUCAGUAAGUGAUUUUAUAAAACUGUUUCACAAAAUCUUUUUGCUGCUUGCAAAUAAUAAUAAUUUUUGCUGAAUUUUAUUUUAAAAUUUGAAGUCAAAAAUUUAAAUUCGACUUUAAAAAUUUUAAAAAAAAAUUGUAUUUAAAAUCUGAACAAGAAUUUAAAAUUUAAUAUUUAAAUUUAAAAUAUAAAUUUAAGAUUUAAAAUUUAAAAUUUUAAAUCUUAAGAAGCAUUUGCUAGCUACAGUUGAAAGCUAUUAUGGAGACUUCAUGGAAAAAGCUCUAAUGCCUAUGCAAAAGCUGUCGGUGCUUUUUCGAUAAGUUGCACUUAAAAAGAACCCUUUUUUAAGAAUCUCCAGCACAUAAUAAAAAAAUAAUAAUAACAAAAUAACAUUAUUUACCGCUCAUUUCAAAUCUUGUUUUAGUGCGUCUUUCAACUGAGCCGAACUCGGUAUCUAUUGCUAUAAUAUAGCUGAGAAGUAACAAGUGAAGUUACCUGGAGCUCGGUGGUGACGGGGUACUCGUCCAUGUCGACAUAGUUCUUGUUGAUGGAGGCCAUGAUGAGCUUGUCGCACUCCGGCUCCAUCCACGUCGUCACGAACGACGCCAGGUUCAGCCGCGGGUUCCCGUCCAGCAUCAGCUCGUCAUUGAUGAUCUGGUACGCAGCGUCCUUCGGUAUCGCCUCCGCGGGCAUCUUAAACCUUCAUUCAUUUAUUCAUUCAUUCAUUCAUUCAUUCAUUCAUUCAUUCUCAUAAUAUGUUAUCGAAAUAUCUACUGAAAUUUAAGGAAUCAAUCAAUCAGUGGUCACCGCGGGAGUGCGGCGCGGACAUAGCGCGAAGCGAAGGUGUAGUGCACAGCCGUGUCGGCGUCGCGGAUCGCUUGGGAGAGAGCCAUGGAGAGAGAGUUUAUUGCUAUGUUUGGAGAAGGGGAAUUGGGGGGUUAUUUAUACAUUGUAUGAUUGGUUGCUAAGUUUGUGGUGUACAUAUAAUUGUUGCUGUUACGCUCCAUAUUGCUUUCAAAAGAAACAAAGGUGGGGUGGGGCAUAGAGAUUCCUUGUUCUUGAGGGGAAAAGUAAAUGGUAUCACUUUCAUCUGAUUGCUACUCCAGUACUAGAUCUCUGUGAGAAAAUAUCUUGUUCUAGGCAUAUUUUUGAUAUUACUAGAUCUCUGUGAGAAAAUAUCUUGUUCUAGGCAUAUUUUUGAUAUUACUGUGAUGCGGAAAAAUAUUUAUUUUUAUUUUUUCAAAAAAAUUUAAAAAAAUUUAAAGAAAGAAAUUGUAAGUGGGCAACCAAUUGAAUAAAUUAGAGUUCGGAUAAAAUAAAUUUUUGAAUGAAUUAGAGUUCGGAUAAAAAUUAUUUCUUUUGUUGUUUGUUUUUAUAAUUAUGGAACCGAAAAAGUGAAUAAUGCAUCUCAAUAGCUGUUUAUUACACAAAAAAUCGUGUUAGGAACCCCAACAAUCCAGAAGUAGAUUUAAAAAUAGUUUCAUAAUAAAUUUUAGUUUUUUUAAAAAGUUUCUAUAGAGUUUUAUAAGUCUAAUUAUUAGUUAAAUAAAAAUUAUAUAAAAAUAAUUUAAUAGUUAAUUCUAUUUAAAUAAAAAUUAUUAAAAUUGGUAUAUAUGCAACGUAAAUUUAUACAACAACUUAUUUUAUAAAGAUUUAUGUGAAAAAGAUUUGAGAUAAAUCUAUCUAAAUAAUUUUUUUAAAAAAUCAAUAAAUAGAAGGGAAAUUGUUUAAUAAAAUCAAUUAUAUAUAUACACACACAUACUAUAUUUCUAAAAUCUUACUCUUGAAAUUUAAAUUCUGUAUUUUUUUAUACAUCGAUAUUUUACGUGAUUUAAAUUCAUCUAUCAGAUGAUUAGAUUUUAUUACACAAUUUAUUACGUGUAUUAUUAAUAAAAUUAAUUAAUUAUAUUAUGUACAAUUAAUUAUUAAUAAAAUUAAUUAAUUNUAUUUUUUUAUACAUCGAUAUUUUACGUGAUUUAUUAAUAAAAUUAAUUAAUUAUAUUAUGUACAAUUAAUUAUUAAUAUAAUUAAUUAAUUAAUUAUAUAGAGUUUAGAGAUUUUAAAUUUUAAAUUUUCAAGUUUAAAAUUUGGAAAUAAAUAUUAUAAACUAAAAUUUAAAAUUUGAAAUAUAAAAUUUAGAAUUUGAAACUUUGAAAUUUGAAAGUAUCAAAACUUCAAAUUUUGAUAUUCAAAAUUUAAAAUUUUAUAUUAUAAAAUUCUAAAACCCUAUAUAGAGAGAGAGCGAGAAGGGGAGGGUUGGGCACGUGUCACUCCAAGGUCCCAAAACCAUCCUUUACAUCGUACUAGUGAAUUACCGGCGCGAUGCUGCGGAUAUAAAAAUUUUUUAUAAUAAAUUUUAUUUUUUUUAAUAUUUUUAUAUAGUUUUAUAAGUCUAAUUAUUAAUUAAACAAAAAUUAUAUAAAAAUAAUUUAGUAGUUAAAUCUAUUUAAAUAAAAGUCNAGCCGAUCGACGAUUCGAAAAUCGUAACAUCGAAAACGAGCUGGAAGCACGGAAGGCUCCGUGCUUCCGAUAGCAUAGUAGCCUCACUCUAAUAAUAAUAUAAUAAUAUAAUAAUAGAGAAAGAAUAGCCCCUGCACUUACACCUGUAGGUGGAAGGUGGAAGGGCCAAAUCAGUCUCAUAGUCAAAAAUCAAAAUCGGCAAGGGUAAACUUCAAAUACCUCCCGUGGUUUCGUAUUUUCUCACUUUGGUAUCCUACAGUUUAGUAUCCUAUAGUUUAAAAUGUAUCAAGUUAGUACCUUGUAAUUCAAAGUGUAUCGAAUUAGUACCCUGUGGUUUCUCAUUUUCUCACUUUAGUACCCUGUGGUUUAAAGUGUAUCAAAUUAGUAUCCUCUGGUUUCGCACUUUCUCAAUUUCGUACCCUGUGAUUUAAUAUUUCGUUAAAUUAUAUACAAAAAAACCUUCAGAUAUCCUAUCUAGAUUUAUCGAAUAUUUAUUUUAGCACCAUUUAGUUUUAACUUUGUCACUGAUUUAACGAAAAAAAAUAUUCCGAAAUAGAUAACAAAAAGAGAAAAAUAAAACCACAAGAUACUAACUUGAUACGAAAAUAAAAUCACAGAGUACUAACUUGAUACACUUUAAACCACAGGAUACUAAAGUGAAAAAGUACAAAACCACAUGGUACUAAUUUGAUACACUUUAAACCACAUGAUACUAAAGUGAGAAAGUGUGAAACCACGUAGGGGUAUUUGAAGUUUUUCCUAAUUUUUAUGUAUUGUGAAAAAUAAAAAAUAUAUUAUUUUUUAAAAUAGAAAAUAUAUUAUUUAUAAAUUAUUUUAUUAAGUAGGAGAUGAUAGAUUUUAUUGAACACAGUAAACGAUUCAACGCCUUCCAAUUAUUCCGUUGAAUCGGCCAAAUUAUGGUUAUUUGAUCGAAUAAAAUUUUCACAAAAUUAUUUAAUAAAUUAUAAAACUUUGAAGGUUUAUAUUAAAAAAAGUCCUCAAAAUCUAACUCAUCUUAUAAUAAUGAGAAAAAUAGUGCUAUCCAUAUAGAAAAGUUGCAUAAGUCUGCCGUGGAAGUAAUUUUUUAAAGUAAUUUUAUAAAGCUAUUUGGCAAAUUUUCUUAAGUGAUUUUGUAAAAAUUUUAAAUUUUAAUUUAAAAUUUUAAAGUAUUGAAAAUUUUAAAUUUUAUUUAAAUUUAUAAUUUAUAGUUCAAAUUUUUAAAAUUUAGAAUUCAAAUUUUUAAAUUUAAAUCUUUGAAUCAAAAUUAGAAUCAAAUUUUAGAAAGUAUGUUUUGGCUUCCAUUGGGACAUAUAUCUAGAGUCAUGAUUAAAAAAUUAAAAUCUGAUUUUGUAAAAGAGGUUAUGAAAAGCUAUAUUAAAAAAAAAAUCAAAUAGUGGACUAUAUCACCUAAUAAGUGGUUAAGUUGAUGUACAAAUGGUUCAAAUAGUUGACUUCUCACCUAAGCUGAUGUACAAAUAGUUUUUGUUUUAAUUCAUAUAAAUGAUGUUUUAUAAAAGAUUUAAUUCAUGUUUUAAUAUUAAUAACUGAAAUUUUGAAACUUGAAACUUGAUGUAUACACCAUAAAAUUACCGGUGUGUUUGGAUUGACGAAUUUUUGUAUCCAACGAAGCUUAAAGUGUAGUAGUGUUGGAGUUUUAUUAAAAUGCAGUUAUUUUUUUGUUAUUUAUUCCGAUGCAAUCCAUACAUCUAAAAAAUUAAAUUCAUGCAAUUUUUUUGUUUGUUUUGGUAUCUUGAUAUUAGUAUAAUUAAUUUUUUAAGUUUUACAUUUUUUUAUGUAAAUAAAUAGGUCUCGUUACCAUAUAAAUAUAGUGAUAAAUUUAUCUCCACAAAAUUUAACAUAUUAAAUAGUUAAAUUCUCUGUUAUUAUUUGUAAAGGUAAUUCUAUCCGAUUGUUAAGGAGGUAAUUCUAAUCCAAUGUAAAAAAAAAUAGAGUUUAAAUUUUAAUAUUUAAUAAAUUUUUAGAGAAGGUUGACAAAACAGCGCAAUAGAGAUGCUUUAUUGGAAAGUCUGAAUUUCUUGUCAUGUAUAAUAUUUAUCUCUAUCCUAAAUUAUAAUUUUUCUCUCUAAAAUCUAAAAUUUUUAGCUUUUAACAUUAAAAAUUACUUACUCAAUUAUUGAAUGAAAACAAAAUUAUAGUAUAUAACAGCGAAUUUGAGAUUCUCCAACAAAAUAUUGUUGGAAAGGUUUUGGCUAAAGUUUUAUCCCGCUAAGGGCAUGUUUGUUUGGGUGGAAGUGGGUGGAAGUGGAGAGGAGGGAAGUCGUUUUCGUUCUAAACGGUCACUUUCGUUGUUUGGUUUGCCGUAAAAAAGUUAAGGUCGAAACUCGAGUUAACCUCAAAUGGCGUAAUUGACUUUGCCCCAUUGGGGCGAAGUCAAUUACGUUGAAAAGAGGUGAAGAAAAAAUAAUAAAAUAAUAUAAUAGAUAAAGAUAGUUAUAUUUAAAUAUACUUAAUUAUGUUACUAAUUUUUUUAGGCCUUUUUCCAUAAAAAAUCCACUUAUUUUGGGCUUUUGCAAAACCGAGUCACCUUUUUCGCUUUUGCAGAUUCGGUCCGCUUUUUCAGCAAACUGACCAAAAUACCCUUAUUACUUUUUCUCUUUCCUCUUUCUCUCUCCUCUUCGUUUCUGUCGUUCUUUUUUUUUUCUCGCCGAAAAAAAAAAGGCGGACCGUCGCCUUCUUCUUCACCGUCGUCUCCCUCCUCACCAUCCUUCUUCACCGUCGCCCCCCUCCUCACCCUCCUCUCCACCGCCCGCGACCCCCUCCUCCUCUCCUCCGCCGCCGCGGACCCCCAGCCCGAUCCCGUCGCCGCGAGCGGCCGCGGCGAACGGGUUGGGCUGAUAUGCGGAGAAGAAGACUAACGCGAAGAAAAAAAGGGAGGGNNNNNNNNNNNNNNNNNNNNNNNNNGAAGGUUUGCUAAUAUCGAUUUUAUUCCCGCUACGCGCAUGUGUGUUUGGUGGAAGUGGGUGAAGCGGAGAGGAGGGAAGUCGGUUCGUUCUCAAUCCGGUGCCACUUCGUUUGUUUGGUUUGCGCCGCCGUGAGUGAAAGAAGUUGGAAUUCCCUCACAAUUCGAGCUUAACGCUCAUGGCGCAUAACCUUCAGACUUUGGCCGCCACCACAUUGGGCGGGCGAAGCUCGAAUUGACACGUUGAAUUUCUAUCACGAAGUGUGAAGGAGAAGCAAAAUAAUGAAGAGGCACACAAUUUGACAGAGAUAAAGACAUAGUGAGUAAGUUGCAACGAUAUAACUGAGUAAUUAUGUUAUUCUCAAGCCUGUGUUUCAGGGCCUUUUCCAUAAAAAAUGACUCCACUUAUUUUGGAGCUUCUGCAAAACCAGAGUCACCUUUUUCGGCUUUUUGCGGUCGACAGUGCACGCAAUUGGACUCUUACGGCCUCCGAGCCGCCGCCAGGACGGCAUCGCAGCAUCCGUUUUCAGGCAAACUGACACUAAAAUACCCUUUUACUUUUCUCUUUCCUCUUCUCUCUCCUCUUCGUUUCUGUCCUGUCUUUUUUUGUUCUCGAGCUGAAAAAAAAAGGCGGACCGUUAUCAGACCUGGGCGUUCUUCCAUUCACACCGCCCGUCGCAUCGGUCGUCGCCCCAGACGCACUCACCGAUCCUUCCACACUCAACGUCGCUCCGGACGGCGCAUGUACGCCGCUAACGAGAGCGGCAGUAGCCGAGGGUGGUGAUGUAUCAUUUUCCUUUGAUGCAUUAGAGUUCGUGCUUUAUCUGAUAUCUGAUAGUCGGCAUUCAUUCAUAUGAUGCGUCCUCACCCUCCUACUGCUGUUCGCCGAGUUGCAAUGCACCCAUUAGCUCGCCCUGGGAACCCGUCCUCCUCUGGUCCGCCGCCGCGGACCCCCAGCCCGAUCCCGUGCGCCGGCGGCGGCUAUAGCGGCCGCGGCGAACGGGUUGGGCUGAUAUGCGGAGAAGAAGACUAACGCGAAGAAAAAAAGGGAGGGCAAGGCAACACGGACAGGAGGGGGAGGCGGAAGCGCAACCGGCGCGCACCAGCGCCGCGCAUGUUCUUCUUCCAUCGGCGCUGCCCCUCCUCCGCGCCGCAGCAGAGCGCAGAAAGCCGUAGACUGAUUGACAACGCCUCGCUUCUCCCCUCCACGACGCGCCGACGUGUCUGAGAGCGCCGCUCCGCCGCGGACAGGUAAUAGCCCACCCGAUCCCGUCGCUGGCAGCGGAUGCGGCCGCGGCAGACUGGCGAUCGCGACUGUUUUUUUAAUUAAAACACUGCAACAUUCUUUAAACAGAUUAUUUAUACUAGCUUCUCUCCUCUUGUUCACGUUCUCCCUUUAAUUAAACAGUGGCAACAGAGAGAAACAGUGCCAACAGAGGAAAGGCAGUAUAAAAUAUCUCUUAAAUUGGGGCAGUUUAAGAAUAAUUGGGUGCCGUUUUUUUUUUUCUUAGUUGGCAAUGAUAUCCGAACCCCAAUUUUCUCUGUUACACCUAUUUUAUUUUAAUACUACACAUCGUAACAGUAUAGUUUAUACUGCUUCUCCUCUUGUUCAGUGUUCUCCUCUUGUUGCCUGUUUUUUUUCUUUCCUCUUUAAAGAGAACACUAGUGCAACAAGAGUAAUAAACAUGCCAACUAAUGAGUAGAACAGUAUAAAUAUCCUUAAAUGAGUGCAUCUUUUUGUGUUAAUGAUAAAGCAGUUUUUUUUUUUUCCUUGUUGAUUAGCCAAAAUCAUAUUUUCUUCGUUUGUUACGAUAGAUUUCUGUUUUUAUUUUAAACUACAUACCCCCAUCUUUAACAGAUAUUAUCUGUUCCCUCUUGUUGCACAACAAAACUGUUUCUUCCUUCUCUUCUCGUGCUUCUUCUUCUCUUUAAAGAGGAGAAGCUGUUUCUUCUUCUGCCUCUUAAAGAGGAGAAACGAGCACAGAGGAGAAACAGAGUGCAACAGAGGAGAAGCAGUAUAAAUAUCCUCUUAAUGGUGCAUUAUGUUUAAGAUUAAGGUGCGAGUUUUUGCUUAUUGCGACAUUUUUUUUCUCUUGUUACACACUGUUUUUUAUUUUAACCUAACUGGAAUAAAAACUACACAUAUUAAAAACCAGAUAUUUAUGACUGCUUCUUCUCCUCUUGGUUGCACUGUUUCUCCUCUUUAAAGAGGAAAACAGUGCAGACAAAGUAAAGGCAGUAUAAAUAUCCUCUAAAUGAGUGCGUUAAGAUAAAUCGGGUGCAGUUUUUUUUCCUGUUGGCACAAAUUUUUCUCUGUUAAUCUGUUUUUUUUAUUUUAAACUGCACCAUUUGAAGAGAUAUUUAACUUGCUUCUCCUCUUUAAAGAGGGAAACAGUGCAACAAGACGGAGAAACAGAUGCACAAGAGGAGAGGCAGUAUAAAAUAUCUCUUAAAUGGGUGCAUGUUUUUAUAGAUAUGGGCACAGGUUUUUUUCUUGUUGGCACAAGUUUUUACUUUUGUUAGCCCACACUGUUUUUUAUUUUAACUACACAUUUUCAACCGUAUAUUUUAAACUGGGGGUUCUCCUCUUGUUUGGCAACUGGUUCUCGCUCUUUUCUCUCGUCUUUAAAGAGGAGAACAGUGCAACAAGAGGAGAAUCAAGUGCAACAAGAGGAGAAACAGUGUCUAAAUAAUCUCUUAAGGUGCAGUUUUAAAGAUAAAAAAUAAAUUAAUAAGUAACAAGAGGAGUAAUGAUGCAACAAGAGGAAAAACGGUGCAACAAAGGAGAAAUAAGGCAACUUUCCAUUUGAAAGAGUGUAAUUUUAUCUUAGUGCGUUGCAGUUUAUAUCUGAAAAGAGUGCAAUAAGAAGAGAAAACAGUGUAAAUAUCUUUCAAGAGAUGUAAUUUUUAUUAAAAAGUGUAAUUUUUAUUUUAAAGCUGCAGUUACCAUCUUAAAUAGUGCAACUUGUAAUUUUUUUUGUAGUUAACGAUACAAUUUCACACUGUCAUCCUUUUUUUUAUAUAAUUUUUAUUUUAUUUUUUUUCUGUUUUUGUUUUUGUCACGCCUCUCUGUCAUCAGCACGGUGUCGGUGACGUGGCCGGUAAAGACCCCCCACUCUAGGGCUACAUAGGGCCGCAGUGAUCGUCCACGUGUCGGCGUCGGUGUCGGCGAAGAUGCAUCGUCGUCGAGGCGGCAUAGAAGGAGGGAGGAGAGACGGGAAGGCAGGAGAGCGAGAGAAGGCGGCCAUCGUCGAAACUGUGGAGGAGAGUCAGAGAAGAAAAGAAAGAAAAAAUGCAAAAAAAAAAAGUCACAGCCCGGCUUAGGGGGAUCGGCAGGCGAGGAAGGUGGGGGCGCGGCAGCGACGCGCGCUCUGUCUUCGCCGCUCUGUGGGAAGAGAAAGAAAAAAAAGAACUGAGAGAAAAAAAAGAAAAGAAAAAGGUAUAAGGGCACCUCCGCUCCGUCUUCGCCGCUCUCUUGGAAGAAAAAGAAAUAAGAACGAGAGAAAAAAAGAGGAGAGAAAGAGGAACAGAGAAAAAAGUAUAUAGGAUAUUUUGGUCAGUUUGCUGAAAAAGCGGACCGAAUCUGCAAAAGCCAAAAAGAUGGCCCGAUUUUGUAAAAGCCCAAAAUAAGUGGAUUUUUUAUGCAAAUUGGCCAUUUUUUUAUCCAGUUAAUAUAUCUAAAAUAUGAUAAAAAUUGAUUAGUUAAGUUUUAAUAUUUUUUAUUUAGUUUGUUCAUUUAAAAUAUGAUAAAAGUUGAUUAAUUAAAUAUUAAUAUUUUUUUUACUUUAUAAUUUUUAUUAUUUAUUACUAUAAUUUAUGUAUAAGAAAAUUAUUUAGUUGUUUUAAAUUAAUUUUAAUUAUAUAAAAAUAUACUUAUAUUAUUUUUAUUUAUUAAAAUAUUUAUUAUUUAUAUAUAAAUUAUAUUUUUACAUAAUACACUUCCUACCAAAUAAAUAACAGAACUAAUGAAACUUUACUUCCAUAGCUACGAAACAAACAGCGGAAAAGAAGUAGUUUUCACCGAAUUUCACUUCAACUCAAAGUCCACUUCAACCUAAAGUCCAGUUUAAGUGAGGUGUCCGAGGUUUCGUUUUCACACGUGUCGGAAGGAUGAUAACAACAGGUUAUUUAAUAUGAUUAAUAAUUUGUAAAACUAUAUUAUCAUUAAAUUAUUGGUAUAUAUUUUUAUAAAAAUAAAAAAUAUUUUUUAUUUUAUAUUUUAACUGUGCACAACGUACUUUUUUAGCCAGGUGUACGUUUCAGAAACGUCUAACAUAGACGUGGCGGAAAGGUCGUGGGUAAAGCUGGGACGUGGAAAGUUGGAUUCGACAAAUAAGGGCUUAAUUAUUUUUAAAAAAAAUUAUGCAGUUUAUUUUGUAUCUUAAAUAUUUUUUGCAUAAAUAAUUUAAAUAAUAUUCCAAUCCAAGAGGCAAUAGCAAAUGAUUUGACUAGCAUUACAACUUGUCGGUAGAUGAUUUAGUUUUUUUUUGUAGUGUCUAUUAGACGAAUUCGAAAUAUGAAAAAGAAAUGGACUGAGUUUGGAAUAACUUGUUUUGAUAGGGAUGUAUAAUUUUUUUAUUUUUGUUUUUAUUUUCCGUCGUUCUCACCAUCUUUUAACUUUUUCGAAAUAUUUUUGUCUCAACUUUAUAUUGUUGAAUUCAUAUACUCAUAAUUGAAUGAAGUGAAUUAAAUAACAUGCUACAUUUAUCAUAAAAAAAUUAAAUAAUAUUAAUGUUGUAUUUUAACACUUUUUUUAUUUUUAAUGAAAAGUUAUUAUAGUGAUGGGGUCACAAAACCAUUCGACAUUAAGAAUGUUUAAAUUUUUGCAUAAAAUUAUUUUUCAUAAUUCAUAUUAAGUUUUGAUCUUUGAAGGUGUGUUUCAAUGUACUAUCUAAACAUAUCUUUGUUAAAAUUAAAGGAGUCCUAACUAAAUAGCCCAUUUUAAACAGAACAAAAAGUGCAGGAUAUGAUAUUAUUUAAAUUUUUUAUGCCGGGGAAUAUUUAAAACACGAAGUGAACCAUAAAAGUAUUUUUACAAUAUAUACGGAGACAUUGAGGAUCAAGCACAUACGACAUGAAAGGAGGGUAAAUCACAGCCGUUCGUUCGCAACCUGCCUAAGAUACGGCUCAUGUAUUAGUGUACACUCGUUGCACGAGCGUUUAGAAAUAUGCAACAUAUGUAGUAGGAUGUUGUAGAUGAUUAGAGAUGAUUCUAGAAAGAAGAAUCUCUCACGUUGUGGGGCCAUAUUUGUACAAAUGUUUCUCCCUUUAUUUGAUGUUUGAUUUAAUUUAUGCUUUUUUUUUCCUCUUAAAUAUGUUGGAAAAAAUUUUCUGAUCUUUUAAUAUAAUAUUUUUCAAAAAUCAAUUCGAAAAUUUAAUUAUAGUUUAAAAAAAUUUCGAAACGAAAUUAAAUAACAAAUACGGCAAAGAAAAGAUUUAGAUAAGACCUGUGGAUAGAGACGUGCAGAGCACUGUUCUAGAAACGAAAUUGCCCCUCCACGUGCAAGGUUUUCCGGCAAUUACUCCUAGCAAUACAAUGUUGUCACCUCGUCGGCAUGCUUCCAAGGUGGCGCAAGACGAACCCAACCAGCUUCAAAUCCAGCAAAAGAAAACUCGACGAAAAUCCAGAAAGUAGAAAAAACCGAGAGGCUUUAGGUUUGCUCGGGUUAUUAAUUAACUCGUAUGUAUAGAUUGCACGCGCGAGAGUAUUACCAAACAACUAGCUUGAGAAUAAAGCAAUAUAUAAAAAUCACAAACACCAUUUUGGUUUCCAAUGUGGGAUUAAACAUCUCACAUGAAAAUUUUAAGUUGGGCUUUCAAGAGGCCCAUUAAUAAUUAUUGGGUUUUUCAAGUGGUUUUAAUAAAUUUUAAAUCACAAAAUCCAAUAAAAACCCAAUAAAAUAGAAUGAUUAGGAGUUGUCGGCCAAAUUUAAAAUCGAAUCUAUUGAACUAUCAAAAUAUAUUCUUCGUGAUCUUAUUUUAAUGAUUGGCUAUCAACUGCUAGAGCAGUUAGUUAGGUACAUUUAAUACUGAAUAAGUAUCUGAUUCAAAUCCUGCUUUAAUGAGAAAAAAAAAGAAGAAGAUGUGUGCGCGCGUUUUCUAGUUGCAUAAUGUGAAAUAAUAUAAUAUUUAGUAUUUUUUGCAUAGCAUUAGAGAGCUAGUUAGCUAGAGUCUACUCCAGUAAGGUUUGAGUUGAGAAUACAAAUCUCGUAUGAAAUGUAACUGAUCGAUUUAGUGGUCGGUGGUAGUUCGUCCUUUGACACUUUUUUUGGGCCUUGUCUACAUUGUUGUCUUUCGAGUAUCCUCUCUUUUAUUGUAUGGGCUUGAUUCAAUUCGAAUUGUGGGCUCUCUCUUGGGCUGGUGUUAACGACACAAAUCCAAAAUCCAAACCCACUAUUAUUAACACUAGCCAAAUUACUUUUUAUUUUUAAAAAUAUCAGAAAUAGUCGUAAUAAUUUAUUCCAUUGCAGAAAUUAAAUUUAAAACCACUGAGUUUUCUCGAGAGAUAAUAGGUAGCACGUUAUCCGCUUCGUUUAUUUCAUUUCGAAAUAAACUUAGUUGGAAAAUUGAAUUAACUAAGAUUCGAACUUGGGACCUCGGGUACCAACCAACAAGCCCUUUACCACUUGCUCUAGGGAUCGAUCAGUAAUAUGUUUAAAAUAUUAAACUUUAAUACGUAAGAGUGUUAUUUAUGCUCACUGUUGCGAAUGAUAUGAGAUUGAUUACAGGCCCAAUUUACACUGAUUCCAUGCUUCUUUGCUAGGGAUGCAAAUAGAUCCUGGCUGGCGGUGCUUCCGCCCCGAUCCACUUAGAAUAGGGCGGUUAGUAGGGACCCCAAGAAAGAAAACAUAAAAAUCGGUUUUGAAUCCAUUCCAAUCUAUAAAAAAUGGAGUGCAUGUGGGGAAUCCCUUUCUUUGUCUAUUCUAAUGUGCUACCGCUCAUUUCCCUACCCGCUCUGAAUGAAACAGUAAGUGGGGACUAAAAAUAGUAUAAAAAUUAAUCUAUCUCGAAUCCGCUCCGCUUCGCUAAGAAAACAGAAAGGAAGGUUGGGGACCUCUCCGUCUCCCAGAUCCGCCCGUCCAUAACUAGGGAGUCUAAUAUAAGGCCGAGUUGGGUUAGCCCUACCCACAUAAUUCAGAACAGGGUUACGCCUGAAAACAACCCAACCCAACCCAACAUGGGUCUGGAUUCGAACCAAACUGUGUUGACUCAUCUUUUGGCGGUUCAAAGGCAAAGAAGUUUAUUGUAUCACACUUGCAUCACAUCAUCAAUAACAAACCAAUCAUAUUUUUUUAUUCUUUUAAAAAAUAUAAUAAACUAUUUUUUAAUUUUUAUAAUCAUGAUGGAACAAAUAAAUUUAAAAAAUAUUUGAUUGGUUGGGAAUGCCAGGACUGAUGCAUUUCAGAAUUUUUUGUUCAAGGCACAGCGAUACAGCAUGCUUGUCCUUUCUCUUAAUCUUCUAAAUUUGUUUUCUAUUAAAUAAUGCAAAAAAAAAAAAAUUGCUCAAAACAUAUUAGAGAAGAAAUCUAAAUUUUGCUCAAAAUAUAUUAUAAUCGAGAAGAAAUUUAAUGUACACAAAAAAUAUAUUAGAAAAUACUUAUAUUUGUGCCUGCUCCGAAAUAGUCUACAGUUCAAGUAAGCUCUAUGCAUUUAUUGAAAAAAAAAAUCAGAAUAUUUUAGCACUUUGAAUAUUUUUUUUUACAAUAUACUGAUGGAAAUUUCUUUUUUUUACAGAUUUAAAAUACAUGGAGUAAAUCCUAAAACUCUGUUUUUUGAUACGAUUUUGCUUUUACCUCUAAAAUAAAUAGAACUCAAAAGCCUGGUUAGCAUGCAUGUGCUCCAACUUAAAAUGCCUUAUAUAGCCCUUUAAAAUUUUAAAAAUAUCUAAUAUAUUAUUAGUUGACCAUAAUUAGUCAUGUUUAGUUAAGGGUGCGCCAAAAUAUAAAAUUUGAGUCGUGCAUCUCAAUUUGAAUAAAUCUGUGAUGUGACUGCAUCACAAUUAUAAAUUAAUUAGUGUUUUUCAUUCACUAAAAAAAAACAUAAUUUAUAACUUGCCAAACAUCUCUAUUAUAUUUCACAUAUAAAAAAUUAUUUUAUUAUAAAAAAUUUAACUUCUAAAACUAAAUAUAAUAUAUUUUUUAUAUAUUUUAAUUGUGCUAUUAAUACAUCAAAUACUAAUAGCUUCUUCUUCUUCUCCUUCUCUCUCUCUCUCUCUCUCUCUCUCUCUCUCUCUCUCUCUCUCUCUAACGAAACCGAUCGCCGAAUCAGACGUCCCAUCAUCAAAAACAACUUACAAGUACGAAAGCCCCCGUACUUUCGAAAGCAUAGGAGCCUAGCUCAUAUAUAUAUAUAUAUAUAUAUAUAUAUAUAUAUAUAUAUAGAGCAGGGCUGCUGUGCUCUCAGGAGCACGGAGGCCUCUCCGUGCGCCUACGGGGGCGAGUCACCGUUUACGAUUACGGAAUUUUUGAAUCGACGAAUCGCAACAACACGCUCGUUAGACUUGAUCUAGCGAAUUUUGAAGUUCUAAGAAAAUAUAUUUUUGCGCAUUUUUCGAUAUCAUUUACUAGUGGAUCGGAAGGAUUCAAAUCGUAUGAAUUUUAUAAUGGUUAGAUAAUCUGCGUUUUCACAUUUUACGGUUGUAGAACGUAUAUCAAAUCAGUAUGAAAUUUUGAUAGAAAAUUUCUUUAUACUAUCUAGCAAAAGAUCUAUAUUUCUGGAUCGAAAAUUUUUAGUGCUUAUAUACCGACACAUUUAUAUAGGAUUUUUCAUUUUCAAAGCGUUAACAAAUUAUUGAUUUUGAAUCUUUUCGAUUGGCUAGGUAAAUGAUAUCGAGAAAAUCGUAAAUUAUUUUCUACGAACUUUAAGAAUACCUAGCAUCAAGUUUUAACGGAGCGAUCGUGCGAUUCGAAAAUCAUCAUCGAAACGGCUCAGGAGCACGGAGGCCUCCAUGCUCCUGAGAGACAGCAGCCCUGCUCUAUAUAUAUAUAGUAGUAAUAAUAAUAUAUAAAUAUAUAGAUGAGGCCUACUAAUGCUAUCGAACAGCAGGAGCCUGCCGUGUUCCAGCUUCAGGUUUCGAUCGUUGCGACUUCGCAAUCGUCGAUCGGUCUUUAAACUUGAUCAUAGAGUAUUUGAAGUAUCUAGAAAAUAAAUUUAUGAUUUUACUCAUUUUUGCCUAGUGAAGAAGGGCUCAAAAUCACGGCUGAACAAAUAAAAAUCUUACAAAAUGUAAUAUAUAAACAUUUAAAAUUUUUAAAUCAAAGAUAUUGAAUCAUUGUUUUUAUAUAGUGUAAAGAAUUUUUAUCAAAUGUCAGCGUGAUUUGGAUAUUUGCUACACNNNNNNNNNNNNNNNNNNNNNNNNNNNNNNNNNNNNNNNNNNNNNNNNNNNNNNNNNNNNNNNNNNNNNNNNNNNNNNNNNNNNNNNNNNNNNNNNNNNNNNNNNNNNNNNNNNNNNNNNNNNNNNNNNNNNNNNNNNNNNNNNNNNNNNNNNNNNNNNNNNNNNNNNNNNNNNNNNNNNNNNNNNNNNNNNNNNNNNNNNNNNNNNNNNNNNNNNNNNNNNNNNNNNNNNNNNNNNNNNNNNNNNNNNNNNNNNNNNNNNNNNNNNNNNNNNNNNNNNNNNNNNNNNNNNNNNNNNNNNNNNNNNNNNNNNNNNNNNNNNNNNNNNNNNNNNNNNNNNNNNNNNNNNNNNNNNNNNNNNNNNNNNNNNNNNNNNNNNNNNNNNNNNNNNNNNNNNNNNNNNNNNNNNNNNNNNNNNNNNNNNNNNNNNNNNNNNNNNNNNNNNNNNNNNNNNNNNNNNNNNNNNNNNNNNNNNNNNNNNNNNNNNNNNNNNNNNNNNNNNNNNNNNNNNNNNNNNNNNNNNNNNNNNNNNNGUAUUUUAGAAUAACGGUGGAACAUAUGAGAGGCAUUUUAGAAAGAAAAAAAAAAACAGGGGUAGAUCGGAUAUAUCUGAGCGUAUGAGGGGUAUAUAGGCAAUUAUCGCUAUUAAUAUAUAUAUUUAUAUGUGUAUGUAUGUAUGUAUGCAUACAUAUAUAUAGACAUAUAUAUACAGAACUAAGCUACUAUACUAUUAAUAGCACCAAGUCAUUGGUGCUAUUAGGUUUUGGGCUCUUGGAUGAAUGGAUGUGCGGUUAGAAUAAUAGUGGACCUAGGGUUGAAUAGGUGGUUGAUUAGUAUGAUCUAAUGGGUGGAAAUAGUCAAAAGGAUAGAUUUAACGGCGGAAAACUUUGUAGUACCAACUGCUUGGUGCUAUUGUAGCAUAGUAGCCAGGCUCUAUAUAUACAUAUACCUAUAAAUAUAUAUAUAUACACACAUACAUAUAUAUACAUACGUACAUAUAUAUAUAUGCAUAUGCAUAUAUACGUACAUAUAUAUAUAUAUAUGGGAUAAUUGCCUAUAUACUUCUCAAAACUUCGGAAAUAUCUCAUCGACCCUUACUUUUUUUUCUUUUCAAUAUACCCUUUAUAUAUUUCUUUAUUAUUCCAAAAUACCCGUGAGUUAAAUAUCUAUGACAAUUAAAAAAAAUUAAAAUGUUGCUUUUGUCCUUAACUUAAGGGCAAAUAAGAAAUAUUGGUGAUGAUAGAGGGGUAUAUUUGAAAAGACCAAAAAAUAAAAUACUUUUUGUGCCCCUAACUUAAGGCAAAUAAAAAAAGUGGGUGCGGUAGAAGGGUUAUUUGAAAGGACAAAAUAAUAAUUUUAUAGAAAUAAAAGAGUUUAUUAAUAGAUUUUAACUCUAGAAGUAUAUUUGAAAUAGGUUGGAACGUUAAAAGAGUAUUUUCAAUAUUAGCCUUCUAAGAGGGGGAAAUCAGAAAGUUGAAAACUUUUCAAGCGUAUAUAAGCAAUUACCUAUAUAUAUAUAUAUAUAUAUAUAUAUAUAUAGAACUAGGUUAAUAUACUAUUAAUAGUACCAAGUCAUUGGUGCUACCAAGUUUUUGGCCAUUGGAUUAAGAGAUGUGCGAUUAGGAUGAUGUGGGCUCCCUAGGGUUGAGUGGGUGGUUGGUCGAAUAGUAUAAUCUAAUGGAUAAAAAUAAUCAAAUGAUUAAAUCUAACGGUGGAAAACUCGAUAGCACUAAACCCUUGGUGCUAUCGAUAGUAUCUCAGUUGGACUAUAUAUAGUAAUAGUUAUAUAUAAUAUAAUUUUAUUAUAUAUACUAUAUAUAUAUAUAUAUAUAUAUAUAUACUAUAUAUUAGAGUGUGGCUAAGAUGCUUAUGAAGCACGGAGGGCUCUCGAUGCUUCCACUUUGUUUUCGAUAUGUCGGACUUUCGAAUUGACGAAUCGCUCCGUUAGACGUUGAUCUAGAGUAUUUGAAGUAUCUUAGAAAUAAAUUUGCGAUUUUUCGAUAAUUGUCCUAGUGAUCGAAGAUGGCUCAAAUCAACGGCUGAAAAAUAAAAUCUUACAAAUAUGAUGAUAUGACAUUAAAAUUUUAGAUAAAGUUAUUGAUCUUGUUUUUAUGGUAUAAAAAAAUUUUCUAUCACAAAUUUCAUUGUGAUUUGGAUAUUUCUACACCGUUAAACUUGCAACCGUCACACGGCCAUUAAAAUUUAUUGAUUUGAGCCUUAAUCACUAGGCAAAUGAUAUCGAAAAAUCACAAAUUUAUUUUUUUUAGGUACUUCAAAUACUCAUAGAUCAACUCUAACAGAGGCCGAUCGUUGAUUCGGAAGUUCGAACACGAAAACAAUGGAAGCGGAAGGCUCGUGCUAUCCAUAGCAUACCGGCCCACGACAUAAUAUAUAUAUAGACUUAGCUUGAAAAUAUCAUUAGCACCUAAUUAUUUGUGCUAUAUAUUUUUAGCAUUGGAUCGAGACAAUGUGCGGUUAAGAAUGAUGUGGGCCCCUAGGGUGGUGAUGGUUUAGAUUGAAUAGUAUAAUCAGACUGAUAUAUUAUACUAUAGAGAGAGAGAGAGUCGAGCAUUGCGAAUAACUAUUCGGGUAGCAAACGAGCUCCGUGCCAACCUUUGUUUUCCGAUGAUGGAGCCUUCAAAUGACGAUCGCACCGUUUGAAAAUUGAUCUUACACUUGAAGUAUCUUAGAAUUCAAAUUCAUACUUUUCCGAAUAUUGUAUUUCUUGUCCAUCAACGGCUGGGCGUAAAAUGAAUGUUGAAGCAAUGAUAUCCAUCUAAAAGUGAUGAUAGAAAUUUGUAAUCAUGAUGCUGAGAGUAUAGAUUUUGUUUAAAUACAGCUUAAAAUUCUCUAACCAAAAUUCAAUUGAUUUGGAUCAGUUUUCACUCGCUUUAAGGAGAAAACUCCUCAUAUCAACCUUAAUUACUAAAAAUUAAUUGAAACCCUUUGAUACUAAGUAAAUGAUGUCGAAAAGAUUUGAAUUUAAUUUUUAAAUACUUCAAGUGAUAUGAUCAUGUUCAAUGUGCGAUCGUCGAUUUGAAAGCUCCAUUCAUCGUGGCCUGUUUGCUCCGAUAGUAUUCCAGCAACUCUCUCUCUCUCUCUCUCUCUCUCUCUCUCCUCUCUCUCUCUCUCUUCUCUCUCUCUCUUCUCUCUCUUCUCUCUCGUAUAUAUAUAUAUAUAAUAUAUAUAUAUUAUCAUAUAUAUAUAUAUAUAUAUAUAUGCUACUUAUACUACUCAAUAGUUCAAGAGCCUAGCUACUAUGGUUUUCGGCCGUUGGAGAAAGAAUGUCGCCGGUUAGGAUGAUAGUGGUCCCCGUUUAAAUUAGAAGUGUCGCGCUCUACGCAUUGAGUGAGGUGGUUGAUUUAUAGUUAUAAUCUAACGUGGUAGAAAUGAUCAAACGGGGGUUGGAUCUAACCGGGUAGAUAAACUCAAUAAGCUACCAAAGCGGCUUGGUACUAUCGUGUAUUAGUAGCUCGGACUAUAUAUAUAUAUAAUAUAUAUAUAUCUAAUAUAUAUAUUAUAUAUAAAUUAAGCUCUAUGCUUUUUAAACAGUACAACAGUUAUUGGUGCUUGUAAUAUUUUAAACGUUGGAUUAAGGGAUGUGCGGUUAGGUAUGAUGUGGCGCCCCUAUGGUUGAGGUGGGUGCGUUGGUUAUAGUAUAAUUUUAACGGUUAAAAAAUGAUCAAGAGGAGUAACUCUAACUGGUUAAAAACUUUACAAGCCCAAAUGCCCUUGUAAUUUGUACAGGCACCAUAGCCUGAACUCUCUACUCUCUCUCCUCCUCUCUAUAUAUAUAUUAUACAACACCUACAAUCAUCAUAUGCAGUUUGCAAUGCCAAUGGCAUUUAUUUUUGAAAAUUAAAUAAUUUUUUUUCUAAAAUAUAUUUAAUUUUAAGUAUUUAAUGAAUGAAUAUAGAUUACUUUUAUACUAUUAUCCUAUUACUUACUGUCUCACAUCUCAUCAGGCUUAUAGUUGGCUAGGAGAUUUUAAUUUUUUUAUAACACUCAAUAUCUAAUUAUUCAAUAUAAUUAUAUAUAUAUAUAUAUAUAUAUAUAUAUUGAUUUGAAGAAGAUCGUAAAAAUAUUAAUACAAUUUUGGGAUAAUUUUGAAUUCUAUCGCUUAUAUUUUGAGAAGUUUUUGUCUAUACCCAAUGUACAUAUUUUAUAUACUACAUUCAAUAUUUAACGUUUAUUUUUUAAAAAUUAUAUAUUAAAAUUUAUAAAUUUUUAAAAUCAUAAUUUCUAAGUAUUAAUUGAACAUAAAAAUUAACAAUAUAAAAAAAAUUUGAUGAAUUUGGUAAGUAGAUGCUCAAAAUAUAUAAUGUCAUAGAGGUAUGAUUAUAUUUAUGAAUUUUGUAAUUUUUUUUAAUUUCAUAAAAUAUGAAUUGAAUUCUAAUUUUUAGAAAGAGCAUACAUGCGAGCGUAAGUUGAAAUGAAGAAGACCACGUUGCUCCUGCCGUUCGCGGUGUUGAAUUUGAAAGUCUUGGUCGCGAGGUUGCUGCUAAUCUGUAAGGCGACGCGAGAGCCAGAUUUACAAGAAAUACAAAUAUGGAGAAUACCUCACAAAUAUGGAGACGAAGAAAAGUUGUGGAAGCAUCCGUAGGAGAUUUCACAAACCCCACGUUGCUAUCAAUGUCCUCUACGUAGAAGAUGAAAUCUUGAAUGCAAUGUUGCCGGUAGAGCGAGGUGGCACAGGAAACGGAGUCGCCGGAGAAACCGUGGAAGGUUAAUGAGGUGGAUCGAUCGAAGUGGGAGGCAUGCUUUGGAAAGGAUUUAGGGUUUUUAAGUUUGUUUAAGGUGUGUUUGGUUUGAAAUAAAAGAGGGUGAAAAAAAAUUCGGAUGAAAAAUAGUUUACGGGUUCGAAUUUAAAAAAUUUUCAUCGAACCCUCUUUUGUUUUCCAUGCGAGACCGAUGAAAAACGAAAGGCGUACGACGAAAAUCGCAGCUCACGCCUCAUCUCUGAGGAGCGUGUUUUCACGCGGUGGACAGCGUGAAAGGGAGGUCCUUGCUAGACCUCCUUUCGUUACAUUUAUAUUUUACGCAGUCCACGAUGCCAUUUUGGCGUCGUGGACCACGCGAGAGGGAGGUCAAUGCUGGACCUCCCUGUCAUGUGUGUAUAUAUAUAAUUUUAUUUAUAAAUAUUUAUUUUUUUUAUUAUAUAUAAUAUUUUAUUUUUAUAUAAAGAUAAAUAUAAUAUUUUAUUUAUAAAUUUAUAAUUAUUUAUUAAUAUUCCUAAAUAUAUUUAAAUCUAUAAAUAGAAAUUAAUAAUAAUAAUAUAUAUAAGAUAAUAAUUAUUAUAUAUUAAUAAUAUAUAUAAUAAAAAAUUUAUUAAAUAAUUUUUUAUCUAUUUUUUUUUUUUACAAACUAAAUACUAAAUAACGUAAAAUUUUUUUCCCACUGAAAAUUUUUUUCACCGAAAAUUUUUUUUCCAUAGUUUUACAUGAAACCAAACACACCCUUAGGAUUUCUUUCACUUCGCACAAGAGGAAAAAGGUGAAAAUGCACUAUAUGCCUUAUAGUACAAGAAAGUUACAAUAAAAAAAAUAUAAUAAAAAAUUAGGACAAUCUUUUGUGGCCAACUAUAAAUUUGGCCAUACAUAUAGAUGUUAUUAGUGGAAAAAUUGUAAAACAACAACAAAUACAAAGCAAUUUUUACACAUAUUUUUGGCAUUGUAAUUUUUGCCGCCAAAUAUUAUUUUACCUAGCCCCAAAACACAUUUAGAAUUUAUGGCCAUAUGUAUUGCCACAGCAAAUAGAAUUUUUUUUGCGGCCAACAAACAAAAAUAGUCACAAACUGUUUAGGAAAUUUUGGCGACAAAUUCACCACAGUUAUUUCUUAAUUGUUUUUGUGACCAAAAUUUGCUAUGGCUAUAUAUAGUGCAUCGAAUUAGUGGCAAUAAUUAAUAAAUCCCCACAAUAGAUAUAUGAUAAUUUGAGUUAAGAUUAAUAGUGAGGACAAGUUGAAAGACGUCACAAAAAAUGUGUAUAUUGUGGCGGUUAUAAAUUUCCCACAAAUAAUUUGCCACAAAAAAUCCUUUUUCUUAUAGUGAAAUAAAGUUUUAAACUUGUGAAUCUCUUAAUUCUGAUGCUAAAACUUUAAGCAUAAUCAAACUCUUAUAUCUCUAAUUAAGAUUUGCUCUUAUCUCAAAGUUUGAGUUAGUAAGCAACGUUUGAUCACAUCAUACCAUGUACAAAAAGUGUCUCCACAGUCCCAGCGCGAGAAAAAAGUUUACUGUAUCAUAUUUGUAAUAUAUUACCAACAACCUGUCAAUUAUAUUUCAUUUAUUGAGAGAAAAAUAAAUCAAAAAUAUUUUUCUAAUAAUUAUUAUGAGGUGGGCGAAUCCAAAAAAAAAAAAAAAAAUCUGAUUAGCCGAAAAACAUUAUAUCAGAAAUAUAAUUGGUACGUACUAAACUUUUUUAGAUGUGGAAGAGGUACUUUUCCCCCCAAAACGUGUCUGCCACAACAAAUGGCCUUUAUUAGUUUAAGGGAAAACUUCAAAAACUCCCCAGUAGUUUCGUAGUUUCUUACUUUGUCCCUCUAUGAUUUAAAAUGUAUCAAUUUGCUCCCCUAUGAUUUCUUUUUUUUUCUUUUUCUUAUCAAUUUCAUUAUUUUUUUUUCUUAAAUCAGUGAUAAAGUUAAAAUUAAAUGGUACUAAAAUAAAUAUUUGAUAAAUUUAGAUGGAUAUUUGAAGUUUUUUGUAUAUAAUUUAAUGAAAUAUUAACGAAAAAACUAUCAAAAAGAUAAAAACGAAAUCACAGAGGAGCAAAUUGAUACACUUUAAAUUACAGAAUACUAAAGUGAGAAACUACAAAAUCACAGGGGUUUUUUUUUGAAGUUUUCCCUUAGUUUAAAGACUAAACUCAACCUUCUACGACCCAGUCAUAUUCGUAUGGUUGGAAAUAAUUAAACAAUAUAUGUACUAGGAAAUAAUUAAACAAUAUAUGUACUACCAAGUCCACUCCCUUCACAUUUAAAUAGAUCUCCUCACCAACGCAAUCACCAUCAAAAAAAAUAAAAGAAGAAACCAAAAGGGAGCAAACUACACCCUACUUUUCGCUACCUCGUCGUUCUUUCGCAAGAGCUUUAGUUUUCAAGUGAUCUCGAAAUCGAAACAGAAACCGGCGUAUAUACAUCUGAAACUAUGCCGGGUUGUUUACAUUCCUCCGCCCCUCGCAUGUCGUCGUCAUCGUCGUCGUCGUCGUCACGGCCUCAGCAGGUUCGAACCGGGUCUGCGAGAACCCACCCCCGGUACAUCCCGAAACGGGGAACGAUUCUGAAGCGCAUCCUGAGAAGCCUCUCUUGCAUUGGCGCGCCGACACGUACCCGGCCGACAAACUCCGGUGGCAAUUGAUUCUGAAUUGGAUUGGAUUGGAUUAAAUGAGAUUGGUGGAGGGUUUAGACUUAUUGGGUUGGAUCGGAUAGUUGACAAUGUAGCCUAAUUUGGUUGUGGAUUUCGACAACCUUUUUUUAUUUGUGCUCUGACAUAGUUUAGAAUUUAAUUUUGAGGCGUUCAAAAAAAAAUAAUUGAUGUAAUUUUUUUUGAAAAAUAGUAAUUCCGACUAUUUCCUAUUUUUGGUUAUUGGAUUGAGGGUGUUCUAUGAGCUUUGAAUUAAAAGCAACGAAUAAACGUUAAUUUGAAUUAUUAUUGGGAUAUAAAUAUAAGCUUGUAGAAUUUUCUCCCCCCAAAUUAACGAUGACAUUUGUUUAAUAAAAAAAAAUCUAAUUAGUUUCUGAAAUUCCAAGUUCGAAAUCUCCCUCGCGGCCGUGCGGAGACAAAAAAAAAAAAAAAAAAAACUUGCAAUUGCAUUUGCAUCCUUAUUGAUUAUAUACCUCCAAAUGCAUUUCUAAUUAUAUAUAUCUCUAAUUGUAACGAGUGCGUAUAAAUCUCCCCUUUGUUUGAUUGCAAAUAAUGGCAUAAAAGAGAUUGGGUUUUUAUAUAAAUGGCACCAAAUAUCACUGAAGCACGAAAAGCAUACAAAAUGAGAGAAUAUGAGGUCAAAAUUGUGAACCCUAACUGCCAAUCAAUUAUCCCAAAAAUACGUAUUUAUAGAAAAGGCACGCCCACUAUAUUUAAGGGCAUAGUCAUAAUACUUAUGAACUUCGAUCUGAUUCAAUCCAUCUGAAUGCUAGGUCUAUUGUUGGGGCUCUUACCGUUAGGUCUCUUAUACAAGACUGCAGUUCCACUCAACUUAUUAGACUUAUCCAACUUAAUUUAUUAGUCUGUUGGACUUAUUGUCACAAAAAAAAAAGAAUUAAAUUUAUUUUAACCAAAUAAUAAAUAACUAAUAAAAAUAUAGCCAGCCUAUUUCACUUGUUAUUUUAAUUUUUUUAACUUAAAAAAGACUCAGUCGUGCGGAGACAAUUCUGGCACAAUUUGGACUUCAUGAUUGGUCAAGCUAAUAAAAAAUAAAAAAUACUACUUAAUUGGAUUAUACCAUCUCACGAGCCCAUGGGCUUGGAUUUUUUAUUUUUAUUUUUUUAUUUAUUAUUAUUAUUAUUAUUUUUUUUUUGUACAUAUGUAGAUCUUGGACUACAUUAGAAUAAGAGAUUUCGUAAUAAUUCUGCUGUUGUCGGUUUUGGAACUGUAAAAAAAAAUCAAAGAAAAUAAUUUUCAAGAAAUUUAUUUUUCAAUUUUUCGCUCAUUUUAUUGAAGGAAAAUAACUAUUUUGAAAAUUAUUUUUCAUACUUUCGAAAAAUACCACUUUUUUUUUCAUUUUUAAAAAAAAAUAAAAUACUAAGUUUUCAUAAAGCUUGUUUUGCUUAGGCUAAGCGAUGAAAAACUGAAAAUUAAUUUUUUAUAAAAAAAAAUUUCUCGAAAUUUUUUUUUCAUUUCCUUUCGAUGAAGCCAAAUACACCCUUAAUUUUCUUACAUGAAAGGUCUGGACAUUUUUUCAAUUCUUAUUACCAAUAUUAACGGGAAGUGUUCAAAUGAAGCAAAGAGUUUGGAGGGACAUGAAUUUUCGGGCAUUUAUCUGAUAUAUAGUAGAUCCUUUUAUAUAUAUAUAAUAUAUUAAUAUUAUAUAAAUAUAUAUAUAUAUAUGGUUGAGCCUGGCAAUACUAUCGGUAGCAAACGAGCUCCGUUGCCAUUUCAUUUGUUUCUCGAUGAUUGGAGCCUCCAAAUUCGACGAUCCGAGCUACCAGAGAAAUGAUCUAUACACUUGAAAUAUUUAGAAAUCAAAUUUCAUACUUUUCGAUGUUGUUUUCUUGGUCCUUAUAAGUAGGCGUCAAAAAUGAAUGGCCUGAAAAUGAAUCUCUCUAAAACAGUGUAUGAUAGAAAUUUUGUAAUCAUGAUCAGAGAGUAUUAGACUUGUUCUAAAUAGUUUAAAGAAUUUCUAACCAAAUUAAUUGAUUGGAUAACGUACCCAGUUAUAACAGAAACCGCCUGCAUAUAACCAUUAAAAUUACUAAUUUUUGAACCACUUGAUCAUUAGGUAAAUGAUGUCGAAAGAUUUGAAAUUGGAUUCUAGAUUCUUCAAGUGAUAUAGAUCAUGUUCAACCGGUGUCCGACGUCGAUUUGAAAAGCUCCAUAUCGAAACAACAUGGGUGGAACGGACCCGUUGCUACCGAUCAGUAUUCCAGCUCAACUCUAUAUAUAUAUAGUAUAAUAGCACGUGCCCCCUGCAUGUAUUUCAUGCUUACUAAUUAGAGGUGGUUGUACAGCUCUUAUUAAAUUUCCUUCUCUCGUCUCUGGAGCCAUAGCGAGGGGAGGACAUUGGUGAGACGUUACGCUUGCCGACGUAGCAUCGCCGAGCCGUAUUUAGCGCCGUUUUCGCCUAACCGUCGGUCAUGAAGGACAGCGAGCGGACGUGCAUUUAACGUGUCUCGACGCCGACCGGGCGAUGGAUUCGCGUUCGAUGUGGGUACCUAACUGUCCUUCUUGGUUUCUGUAACGCACGGUUGUUGAGCUUCGCGUGCUGAUUUACUGAUUUUAGCGUCGACGUUAGUGUUUCGGAUCAUACUCGACGUAGGACGUCGGAUUUUAGACGGACUUGGUUCGUUGGAUUUGGGACUUCGAGAGGAAUCCCGAAGCCUUAUUUGCUGGAUUUUGGUGAAGGUUUUGCGUAGGUCGUUCCCUAUUCUUUCUGCUGCUGCUGCUUGGGCAGAAUUGAUGUAAUAUGGGUUUCUAUGUUUAGACCCAUGGAGCGUGGUGUCGCUGGUUCGGGGAGCUGCGCCGAGCUUGACAGGGACUCCGGUGACCUUUCUUCACCAUCGGGGAUUUGCCGAUUAGGUGGGUAAUCAUCGGUUUACUCCUAAGUGCUAUAUAAUCGACAUGUAAUGUGGAAUUAUCUUGAGGGCGCAAUUGCUGGUUUAUUGAUUUAGUAUGGUAAUAAUCUGAAUUGAGCUGGUUAUUAUCUUUGGAUAUUAUAUAUAUAUAAAUAUAUUAUAUACAUGUUGGACUUGGAUAAGACUUAGGAGAAUAAGUGAGAUUAUGAUCGUCAUAUAUUUAAAACUAGGGGUGGAACUAGGCCGGCUUAGGUCGGUAAUACUAUGCCCAAGCCCGGCCCAAAAGAAAAUGUUGGGCUUCGAGUCGGGCUUUUUCCCAUUUGUUUGAAAAUAAGGCCCGGCUCAAGCCAAAGCCCAAGGCCAAACCAUCGCUUUGUGGAAGCCCAUUUUAUACAUUUAUAUAUAAUACAUAAAUAUUUUAUUUGUAUAAUAAUAUGUACCAUAUAUUACUCAUAUGAUAUAUAUAUUAAUUAAUUAUAAUAAUAAUAUACUAUUUAAUAUAUCCUAAUAUGAACUAAAUAUUUUGUUAAUAUAUAAUAUAUCCUCAUAAUAUAUAUUAGUAUAUUCAUUAAAAACACAUUAUUACUUAUAUGAUAUAUUAUAUAAUUUAUUCUUUUUAAAUAAAUAUAUAUAUAUAUAUUAUUAAAUAUUUUAUUUUAAUAAUUAAUAUAUGGGCUUUUGGGUCGGGCUCGGGCCGGGCUUGGACAUGCCAAAUAAGCCCAAAAUUUUUCGGGCUAAAUUUGAAGCCCGGCCUGAACCCAAAGUUAAAUUUUUAAUACCCAAAGCCCGCCGAACAUGCGCCAUCGAGCCGAGCCUUGUUUAGGCCCGCGCGCCAGUUCCACCCUAAUUAUAAACUACCUAUUUAGCCCUAAGGCGUUGUAUAUUUUAUACGUGGCAGUACCUAAUUAGUGAGUAGUCUGCAGAUAGUAUUAGCUUAUCCAGUUACGCAUCGUCCGGGAUGCCGGUAAUUUUACAAUAGUCGUUCAGGCGUUCGACUGUUGGUGCGUCGGGUUGUACGUUGGGACCCGGUAUCGCAUUUUUCGGCGUUCGGAUUGUGCGACGGAUUGUUACCUGUGGUGUGUAUAGACCAGUUUGAGUCGUGACUGGACUUUGGCUUUGAGAAGCUUGAUUCGAGCUCCGACAGAAUACGGCUGCCAUACUGUUGGUGCUCCACGAAGUUGCCACUCCGGAGCGGAGCUUUUGCUUUCGCUUGCAUGUUCGUCAUGCCGCGUUGGACUGCUCUCCACGGAACCAGUAGUGUGGAUGGAGCUGGAAUAGUCGCACUGGGCAGGGACGGUAUGUAUUGCACGAGUCCAGACGGGUAGGCUUACAGUCCCGAUUGGAGUUGGGUCAGAUUUGUUUUCCUACAGUUCGUUAGUGAAGAGCAUGGAAUUCAGUAUAGAUUGAUAUGCCGUAGAGUUACUUCCUGCUUCCGACUAGUUCUUUGCUCCGUCUGUCUAAGACUUAGUGGCGUGCGACCGGACUUGUUUUUUGGGCCGGACCCACUGAGGACACUUGUUUUUACAGUAUAUCAUCACGCCCAGGUAGUCUCUGAUUUUUGCAGAGCCACAGGUUUCGACUGCCCUGACCUUACCGCGGUCGUAGGAUCGAGGCAAAGGCGUCGCAAUGUUAGAGCCCUACCGCACGAGCAGAGCUGAGCCCCCUACGUAGCAUAGAUGUUCUGUUGUUCGAGUUUAUGUUACAUAGCUACUUAACUCGCAGUGCGAGUACUCAUUGUAUUUUGGAUUUGGUCUAUGUAUAUUUAAAACUCAGUUGGUUUAGCUUGUUUAUUCGAGCAGCUCUAUGUACUGUUUGUAGGUAUCUGUAUACCUACAGUACAGCUGUCCUUCGUAUACAGAGGGAAAUUCUGUUGCUAUACGGCGGAUUUGUCGACGUGCCCGGGAACGAGACUAUCCGGGCGUGACAGAUUAAGUGGUUCAGAGCUUAGCUGUGUCGGUGGGACACUGAAAACCUAAAGUUUGGCAAAUCUUAGGAAGGCAAGAUCGAGAGGCGUAAUUUAUUGCGCAAAUCACAUGGAUUAAUUGUUCUAACCUCCUCCAAGAGUGGGCUCGUGAGUGAUUUGAAGAGACGUGUUUUGCCUGAGACAAUUAUGUGGCCUGAGACGACAUAAUUUUGGAGAGAAACAGGGAACCCCUUCAGACUUUCAUUGAAUGGUCGAGAGUGUUGUUGUAUCUAGACCCCGAUUUGUUCCUUUCAGCUAAUGUAAUCGUCCCAAAGGUCGACCGUCGUUGCAGAGACGUGCUAGUUAGCACGGGAUCGUGCAGGACCUCCGAGGAGACCUGAGCAGAUGAGCAGAGAGUACUCGCAGAGCAGGAACCUGACAGACCGGAGGCGCAGUGCACCCCCUUGUGGAGCGAUGUGCGGCGGACUGAGGCUAGCGCACCCCCUGAUCUGAGUGCACAGUUAGCUGCCCUGACGUGAGGUGACGACGGAGUAGGGGAGAGUUGUUGCAGAGGUUGUGUUGAGAGGUUAACUCAGUCACGAGAUCAGCAUCGAGAGUACACAAGAGCAGAUGAUUCGGCCACUGCACUUCAAGGUCGCAGUACCAGCGCGCUUGCCCCACCGUGGAGCUUCUACCAGCCCAUUGGGCUGCUAGGGGCCCGCUACAAGUUGACAGAGGGCGAAUGCAGGAGAGCUGUGGCGGACGAUGGUUGCGUUCGUUGUUCGUCGCUUUGAAUCCACCGCCAUUUACGAUGGCAGCAUGCACUGAGGCCUGGGUUGUUCAGGAUUAGGUCAGAUGCGAUCAGAGAAGCUCGUAUUUGAGUCUGAUCAUUCGGAGGGAAAGCAGGCAUCUCUGGGAGUACACUGUUUGCAGGUGAUGUCAUGACUGGUGCGGACGAGCCGAGCGCGAGAGCAGGUAGCUGUGGGGCGCAGGCUGAGGUGGAUGAGUGUUGUGAAUGCUGUGUGGGAUGUUCUUUCCAAACAGGUGAUGAAACAGAGCUCAAGGAGGAAUUUGAGGAGCUAUCAGCAGGAGAUCGCCAGUGCAGGAGUACUUCCGAGAGUUUACUCGACUCCUGAACUGAUGGUACCUAUUUGCGGCAGAGACGAAGCGCACAGGAGGUGCUAUGUUCGAGCACGGGCUGAGACCGGAUAGCUUAUAGGUUGACUCGGACGCAGAGGUCGAGCAACUCUGGAGUGUGUCUAGUAGAGCAGCCUUGUGGGUGGAGCGAAGGUGAGACAUCGCUAUAGGAAGAGGAUCAGGCCGUAGGGUAGAGUCAGAUAGGGAAGCGCCCAUUUCAGAUGACGGCGACAGUCGAGCAGCAACGUUCGCGCGAGAGCGCCGUCCACGAUCAUUUCAGGUCGGGUUUCGGAUGGCUCGCGUCCGCGUUAGGGCAUCCCGUCAGCAGGGGGCAGAUCAGGGGACGCCACAGUGUGGUGGAUCUGGCGGGCGACCACACUGGCCCCAGCAGUACGAGUUAGAGAGAGGGCAGAUGCUACGGAUGUGGUCAGCCGGGACAUAUGAGGGCCAGCUUUUUUUCGCCGAGUCAGCUAUCUCCAUCACACCAUCACUCAGCUUCAGCCCCAUCAGCACUCAGCAUCUUACGACGCGCACGAGUUUACCGCACAGGGGACAGAUCGUCUGGCCGCCGUCAGGUGACGCGGACGACAGCAGGCUCGAAAUGGCAGGAGUCUCGCUAGCUCAGGCGAUUGAGGAUUCUCAGCAGCACCGACGUGGUGCACGCUUCAUUUUGAUUUCUGGCAUGUAGAGUUCGCACUCUUUUUGAUACCGGUGGCAUCGCGUUCCUUUGUUAAGCGAGAUUUGCACAGUUGCAUGCGGUCUAUAGUUAGGAGCGUGUAUCUCAGCACGAGAAGGGUGCAGAUCCGGCCAUGUCUUACAGGUUACAGAGUGUUGUUGUGUCCUUCGCAUCCGGUGCCGUUAACUUUGGAUCAUGCCCGCAGACAUUGUUGUGUAUAGUGGUGUGGCAGCAUGCAGGACUUCGACGCUCAUGCUCGGUAUAUGGAUUGGCAUGGCGCGGCACGUACAUGUCGUCACUUGGAGCGAUUGGUGACUUCCGCGAGCCAGGCCGGCGGGGGUUCACUUUCAGAGGCUGCAGGAGUACGUUGUUUGGCCACCUGAAUAUCUCGCUAGGGCUACGACAGAUGCCUGAGUAGUGGUGUAUCGUCUUUCUAGCGACUGUGUGAGUACUACGCGUGCUUGUAUGGGGACGGUUUUAUCCUCUUUUAGUCUGCAAGUUUCGGAUUGUGUUUCCCCUGAGUUGACGACGUGCCGCCGGAGAAGAGAUGAGUUGUGAUUGAUGUAGCUUCCUGGAACUGCACAAUCUCAAAAGGUAACCUUACCGGAUGGCGCCGCAGAGCUGAGAGAGCCUAAAGGCAUCAGGCUUCAGGAUUAUGAUGUAAGUGGCUUGAGACCCAGCUGUGUCCCUUGGGGAGCGCCGUCGGGUUAUUUGUAAAGAAGAUAGGCAUUUCAGAUUGGCCUAGACCGACGUAACGGUUACUGAGGUUCGCGAACUCUUGGGAACUGGCCAGGAUAUUACCGUCGGUUUGUGGAAGCUUUGCAGAAACUUUCCACAUCCCUACACGCUUGACGCGGUAGGAUUGUUUGUCUGGGACGUACGUUCAGGAGCUUUGACGAGUUAGAGACUGAGGUUGAGUCGGGCUCCUAUCCUUGCUCCGGUGCAGUAGGGGAUGGAUCGUGAUCUACAGUGAUGCAUACGCAACAGUGACUUAGUUGCGUGAUGAUGCAGCAUCGGUAGGGUGUUGCUUUAGGCUUCACGGCAAUUAAAGUAUGAGAGAGAUUACGACGCAUGACUAUGCGAGCUUGCCGCGGGCGUUUUUGCUCGAAGUCCUGCAGGCCAUACUGUAGUGGCGAGCAUGCGAGGUCUUCUGCACGAUCAUAAAGUCUCAAGUAUCUGUUCACACAGAGAGAGCUGAACCUGAGGCAGCGCCGGUGUUGGAGUUACUGAAGCAGACGAUGACAUACGUAGUUCAGUAUCCAUCCAGCAAGCGUGGAAUGUGUGUGCAUUUAUCGUGUUGAUGCAGGAAGUCAGCUGACAGAGCCUGAGUUGAGGAUGCACUGAGCAGAGACCUGUACUCAGGAGCUUGGAAGCGCUGGGACUCGAAGAUAUACCCCCCUGGGUCUGCUGGAGGCUGACGUCUCAGUUUUACAGCCCACUCUGUUGGAUAGGAUCCUGAGAGAAAACAGAGUGUGAGAUCACUGUACUUGAUGAGGAUUAGAGAGCAGCUAGGCCAGGGCGUGAGGCCUGAAGUUUUGCUUUUAGACAUUCGGGACGUACUACGUACAGGACCGAUUGGGUGUGCCUGGAUUGAUUUAAGCAGGACAUUCUGAGAGAGGCUCAUGUUUCUCUUAUAUGGUUACCCUGGGAAUCCAAACUCAUUAAGGAGCUCGUUAAGCGCACGGUUCUGAGUUGACCUUGUGAUAUUGAAGAGGGUGCAUUGGCAGAUUUGUGCGUCAGUGUUUGACUUGCAACAAGUGUAAGGUUUCGUAGCAAGUCAGCGUGCCUGCUGGCAAGGCUUCAAGAGUCUGCCAGUGCCACGAGUGAAAGUGGGAGAUAGCAAUCACGAUCGGACUUUCGUCGUUUGGAUUGCUCGAGCCAGGGUGGCUACGACGCGAUUGGGUGGAUACGUGGACAGACUGACCAAAGUCUUUUGCCUCAUUCCUAUCAGUCAGACAUCUGGUCGCAGAGAGAGAUUCGCCCUCAUGUGACUGGAUGAAUUGUUGAGGAUUGCUGAGCGUGCCCACUUCAGAUAGUAUCCGACCGAGACCGGGUUGUCUCGCCACUUUUGUGAGAGUCAUUCAGACAGUUGCGGGCACUCAGCUUGGCAGUGAGUCGUACAGCGUUUCACCCACAGACAGGAUUGGUCAGUCAGAGCGGACCAUUCAGACUUCUAGAUGAGGACAUGCCUAGAGUGCUUAAUUUAGGAGGGUGUGGUAUCUGCAUUGAGACUGCUUAGUUGCGCGACAAACAACAGCUAUCAAGCGGAGCAUUCCAGAUGGCCUCCGUUUCGAGGCGUUGGUAUGGAACACAGAUGCAUCCCCUUUGUUUUGGAGUCGAGUGGGUGAGAGGAUACGCGUUGGUGCCUGAGAUUCUGAUUAUGGCUGAGCGAAAAGGUAAAGGAGGCGCCGACGGGAUUGUCUAGCAGCCCGAGAGGUCAAACGAGGAGCUAUGCUGAGAUACCGCGGAAGGACGAGACUUGGGUUCUCCAGGUGGGAGAUCAUGUUUUAUCUCAAAGUCUGCGCGUCAAAGGUAUUCGGCCAGAUUUGAAGUAGUGGACAAGCUCAGUCCACGUUUAUGUAGGCCCUUUCGAGGUUUUGGAGCGAGUCGCCCAGUUGCUUACAAGGAUUGCUCUACACCGACUAGCCGGCAUUCACGAUGUUUUUCCAAUCUCAGCUUUGAGGAGAGUAUGUUUUCGUGAUCCCUCCACUGUGACUCGACUUCACUGCCACUCAGAUUGGCGAGAUUCUGAGAUACGAGAUGACUGUUGGACAAUCUGCUCGAGAGACGGAAGAAUAGCGCAACCGAUCAUUCCGGGUAUGUGAAGCAGUUGAGGCAAUCACGCAGGGCGGGAGGACUUGGGAGCCUGAGACAGUGAUGAGGGAAGUUACCCAGACUUGUUGAUUCUUCAAGUGAGAUGUGCUAUAGUUUCGAGGACGAAACUUUCUUGUAGUGGGAGGAAUGUAGAUCCUUAUGAAUAUAUAUAUAUAUAUAUAUAUUAUAUAUAUAGUAUAUAUAUAAUAUAUAUCAUAUAUAUAUAUAUAUAAUAUAAGAUAUGAGCUACGGAGUUACUUUCAGUCAUCAAUCAUGGUUCUAUAUAGGCUUUUAUUAAGCCAUUGGGAUCUACUUUUGAUUAUUAAUAGCGCCUUGGAUUAAACACUAUUCACCUACACCACCUACACCAUCACUUCAACCUCACAUCUCUCCAUCCAAGGGCUGAAAACACACAAGAUUCACCCCCAUGAUACUUUACAAGUAUCUACCUCUCUCUAUUACUAUAUAUAUAUAUACAAAUGCCACAGUGCCCCCAUGCAUGUAAUUUCAUGCUUAGCAUUAAUUAGGGGUUGUACAUGCCUCCUUUAAUUAAAUUUUGCUCUCUCUCUGUCUCUGGCCUACGCACGAGGAGCGAGACCUUGGUCGAUGCGUCGUAUGCCGAGUCGCAUCCCAGAGCCGUUUGAGCUGCACGUUGUCGCCGUAACGUCGCAUGAGGCCGGCUUGAGGUGCAUUUUUCAUCCUGUCCUCGACGUUCGCCACCGGCGCGUAUUCACUGUCGAUGUUUGUGUGGGUGUACCUAACGUUCAUUCUAUGAUUUACUUGAAGCACGGUUUGAGCUCGCGUCCUUGAUUUUACUGAUUUCAGCGUCGACGUUAUGUUUCGCUCAUACUCGAUAGGAACGUCGGUAUUUCGAGCGGGAUUGGUUCUGUAUUGUCAGACUGCGCAGAGAAUCACGACGCCCUUAUUGCUGGAUUCUUGGUGAAGGUCUGCGCUAGUGAUGAUCCCUAUUUGUUCUAAUGGUGCGUUUGCUGUCUUUGUUGUUGGGUGGAAUUGAUGCUUCAAUAUGCGUUUCUAUGUUUAGGACCAUAUGGAGCGGUGUUAGUCGCUAGGUUCGGAGCUGCCGAGCUUGACAGCGGACUCGCGUGACCUUCUUUCACCAUCGGGGAUUUGCGAUUAAGGUGGGUUAAUCAUCGGUUUACUCCUAAGUGCCUAUAUAGUCGACAUGUAAUUGUGGAAUUAUCUUGUGUGGCGCAAUUGCUCGGUUUAUUGAUUUAGUAUGGUUAAUAAUCUGAAUUGGAGCUGAGUUAUUAUCUUUGGAUAUAUAUAUAUAUAUAUAUACAUGUUGGACUUGGAAAAGACUUAGGAGAAAACUCGCGAUUAUGAUCGUCAUAUAUUUAAACUACCUGAUUUAGCCCUAGGGACCGUUGUAUUAUUUUAUACUGUAGCAGUAUCCUCAUAGUGGGUAUUCCAGAUAGUUUAGCUUUCAGUUACGCUCGUGCCGGGAUGCCGAGUAUAUUUUUACAGUAGCGUUCAGGCUGUUCCGGACUGUUGGGUGCCGUCGGGGUUGUCGGUGGACCCGUAUCGCAUUUUUGGCGUCGGAUUGUGCCGAGGGCACGUUACCUGUUGGUUGUUAGACCAGUUUGAGUCGGUUACUGGACUUUGGACUUGCUCUCCAUGGACCAGUUAGUGUGGAUGGAGUUGGAUAGUCGCAACUGGGCAGGGACGGGUGUAUUCACAGUCCCAGGGACGGGUAGGCUUACAGUCCCGAUUGGAUUGGGUCAGAUUUGACAUUUCCUACAGUUCGUUAGUGUAGAGCAUGUUAGUAUAGUGAUUGAUAGCGGUAGAGUUUAUUUCCUGCUUUUCCGACUAUUCUUGCUCCCUUCUGUAGACUUAGUGGGUGGACCGAUGUUGUUUUGGGCGGUACCCACUGAGGACUACUUGUUUUUACAGUAGUUCUCACGCUCAGUUGUUACUCCUGUUUUUGCAGAGCCACAGGUUUCGACUGCUGCACUUUCCGCGGAUCAGGAUCGAGGCAAGGGCGUCGCAAGUUAGAGCCCUACCCGACGAGCAGAGCUAGAGGCCCCCUACUGCAGGUAGAUGUUUUGUUUCGAGUUUAUGUACAUAGCCUACUUAACUCGCCAAUGCGAGUAACUCUGUAUUUUGGAUUUAGUCUAUGUAUAUGAAACUCAGUUUGUUUAGCUUUUGUUUAUUCGAGCAGCUCUAUGCUACUGUUUGUAGUAUUGUAUAUCUACAGGUACAGCUGUCGCUUCGUAUACAGGAAAAAUUCUUUUGUAUACGGCGGAUUUGUCGACGUGCCCGGGGAACGAGACAUCCGGGGCGUGACAGAUAAUAUAAAAUAACUAUUUAUCUUCAAAAUCUUUAAAUUAAGUUUAAUUACAGUGGAUCACAAUUAAAUUUUUAAUUUUAAAAUAAAUAUGAAUUAACUUUUGAUGCUUAUAGUUUAAAAAACAUACUUAAAAUUAUUAAUUAAAAUUUGAUAUUCAAAAUUAAAUUUAAUUCAUGAUUUUAAUUUUAAUUUUAUAAAUUUAAAUCUCAAACUUCAAAUUUAAGAUGAGAUAAAAUUUAAAGUUCUAUAAGAUUAAAAUUUAAAUAUAUAUUUUAUAUUAAAUUCAAAUUUGAUAAUUAGUUGCAAUCAAUAAAAAUAUUAAUAUAGCAACUAAGACUUCAUUUGAGAUCGUAGAAAAAUUGUGUUAUUUGCGGUGAGAAAAUACAAUGCAAAAAUACUUUGUUUGUUUCCGUACGUAAUAUUACGUCCGCAUAUCGUAAUUAAUCAGUUGCGAUAUAUUUUCUGCGAUCCUAUCAGAAAAUGCAAAAAUAUAUCUUUAUAUAUUUUUACCUUAAUUUUAUUUUAUCUAAUAAUGUCAGAUAUGCAUGUCAAGAUAUGAUGAUGCUACUUUGCAGUGGCCAAUGAAAGACCUCGUGCAUAGGAUAUGUGCGGACAAGCUUUAUAAAAAGUUAUAGAUAUACUCUCAAAAAAAAAAAAGUUAUUGAUAUAUUUAGCGGUUAAUUAACGCUAAAUUAACAAAGUACCUGCUUGAACCGCAAGAAAGAUAGAGUGGCCUAGGUCAGGUUCAAUUUAUUGAGUAUCACGACGUCAUAUAAGAACGUCACAGAGAACACGUCACACCAGCUCCAAUUUGCUUGCCAGUUUUUAGUUCAAAAAUUAUCAGAUAAUGUGACAUCUAUCUCGUACCAUCGGGUAAUAAUAAAAGUGUCUGUGGAUGGAAUAAAAUAUGGAUAGUUGAUAUACAAUAUUCAAAAAAAAAAAUAUAUAUAUAUAUAUACCAUACCGAUUUAAUUCCAGAUUAGGUCCGAGUCUUAGCAUUUAAAUUACUAAUAUAUCCAUCUAGUUUAUUUGAGCGGGCCUAGGUAAUAACUAUCUAUAUACUACUACUUGCUCGAGACUUGCUAUGAAUCAGGUCUAAUUCGGACACCGGUACCCGUAUGCAUAUAUUUUUUAGGUUAAUAAACUUUAAAUUUCUCACUUUAGUACCAUAUGGUUUAAAGUGUAUCAAUUUAGUGCCAUAUGAUUUUAUUUUUCUCUUUUUGUCAGUUUCUCCGCUAAUUUUUUGCUAAAUCAUAUAUAAAGAACUUCAGAUAUAUCGAGUAUUUACUUUAAUACUCUUUUGUUUUAAUUUUGUCAUUAAUUUAACAAAAAAAUUAGUGAAAGGGAUAACAAAAAGAGAAAUAAAAUUACAGGAGUACGAAAGUGAUACACUUUAAACCAUUGGGUACUAAAGUGAAAAAGGGCGAAACCACAGGAAUGGUAUUUGAAGUUUUUUCUAUUUUUUAUAGAUUUUAUUAAACUGUAGAGGCAACGGCGCACAGCUCAAGAAUUUUAUGAUUUCUUGGGGAGGAGGCAAGCUGCUUGUCGGAUCGGAAACGGAUCAAAUGGUGAGACGAGAUGUGGGAGACAAAGCUGCCUGGGUGGGAAGGAGGGAUCAGGGAGGGUCAGAGGGAUCGGAGAGGCAAAGUGAGCCGCUAGGAUUUGUUUUUUUUUUUUUUUUUUUUUUUUUUUUUUUUUUUUUUUUUAACUUCUUUCUUUAACUCAAGCAAUAAACAGGGAUUCCUAUAUGGAUGAAAAUACAGAGGCUUCUCAUUUAUAAGUCUAUUAAAAUUGAUUCCUCGACUGUAAAUCUUUUUUAUUUACUAUAAGAUAUUUCAUCUGUUUGGAAUCCGAGUCCAAAUUCAGAUUUGAAAACUAUUCCACACCCUACCCAUUAAAAGGUCGAAUUCAGGUUUGAUCCAAAUCAAAUAUGAAUAUAAAGUGUCCGAAUUCAUACCUAAAACUUUAAUGGGUAACUUCUUUUACCCGUAUACUAUUUAUUUUUUUAUGGGGUUCGGUUCAAGUCCGGGUAGAAUCCAGGUUGGGUAUGGAAUAUCAAGUGUUUUGGAUAAUUUUAUCUGGCAAAUUGAGUUAGAUACUAGUAGCAGCUUAACUCAUUAGCACUAAUCAUUUAUUCGAUACAAAAUAUUAGUUCAAAAUGUUUAAGUCCAGCAAAGAUUAUAAUAACUCUUAUUUUUUAUAUUGUUUAUAUAUGUAUAUAUAUAUUCUUUCAAUCACUUUCAAUCAAUGCGAGACAAUUGAAGCAUUGUAAAGGACAAAAAUUUUAUGGGUACCAGCCCCAAAUUACUUAAUUUGGGGCCAGUCCCACAGGUGUACCACGCAGCGCCCAUCAACCACUGCUCUCUCAAUAUGGGGAGAGCAGUGGAAAUUUUUCGGGUGCACCUGGUGCAUCUAUAUUAAGUGCACCAUGAAAUUAACUUUUGGUUUUUAAUUUUUUAAAAUUAUAAUUUUAUGUAAUAAUUUAUUUAUUUUUUUAGGAGUUACCAUGCAGAAGUUAAAAUUUUACACUCUAUUUGGUUUCAAAAAAAAGAAAAUAAUAAUAAAAAUCAAAAAAUAAUUUUAUGGUGCACCUAAUAUUGAUGCACCAAGUGCACCCGGAAUUUUCAGUGCUCUCCUAUAUUAGGAGAGCAGUGGUUGGUGGGCGGAUCUGGACGCUCCCCCAAAUUAAGUAAUUUGGGGCCGGUGCUCAUAGAAUUUUUGCCCCAUUGUAAGGCUCACAUAAAGUAACCCCUAAUUGGAAAGGGACUCCUAAUUCGAAAACGUUGGCUAAUAUCCUACUAGCUCUGUUUCCAGGCAUUUUGCUGCUUUUUCUUUUACUAGGAACAAGCAUUGCGCGUUCCUCUUCAUUCGUAAUAGUACCCAUUUACUUAGUUCAGGAGUUUCUCUACCUACACACACAUAUAUAUAUGUGUGUGUGUCAUUACCUGAGUUCGUACGUGUUCUUGUUGUGAAAUAAAUUUAUAUAUACUAUGCAAAUUAAGAAUCGUAUAUCGAUAUCUUAGUAGCUUCUUGAGAACUCGAUCAUCUCCAUGGAGGGAGUUUGCGCCACCUAUGACGGAAAAAAUAAAAAGCCGAAACGCCGGAAACGGGGUUGCGUCAAGAGAAGCAUCCUGGAGCUGCUCUGCUGCUGUAUUCUGCCGAUCACCAGGUAAUGUUCCUUGCCAAUCUUAUAUGUCUACACGUACCAACUACGUACGUAUCUAGCUUGUACGUAUAAAAAUAACCUUGCAAAUUUUAGGGUCUAUUGAAUGUAGAAUUUUCUUACCAACUUUGAGCUGUAUCAUUAUAUUCUUGGAACGAAAAAAAAAAAAAGAAAAAAGAAAAAAGAAAGAAGAUCGAAGAGCUCUUCAAUGAUGCCUCCUUAAUAAGUUUUCGAUUUUCUGUCAUCUGCCAGUUUUGUUUCCAAAAAUUAUAAAAGUGAGGUGAAGCGUAUAUCUUACACUCUUUUCAAUCGGGCGCUAUUGUUCACUACUUAUUAUGAAAUUUCUUGUGUUAUAAUUCUAUAAAUAUUUUUUUUUGAGAUUUAUUAUUAAAAUUAAAAUAUAUACAUAAAUUUCUAGAUUAAGGUAAAAUGUGCAUGUAGGAUUUGCUCCUCCCCCAACCUGCUUAUUCCCAAACCCUCUCCUUCGUUCUUCUCCUCCGCACGUGUCCUCCCAAAACCCUCUCCUUUCGCUCCUCUCCUCCACUCCAAACCCUAACCUCUGCUCAUCUCCUUCGUCGAUCUCGUUGAGGUAGAUCGAUUAGGGUUUUUGUGAUCUUUUUUCUUUUUUUUUUUUUUGCUUUCCCCCUUAACUCCUUGAUGUUUACGUUAUUCAAGAUCUUUAUGUGCUUCUCUUUGCUAUGAUCGAUCUAGAUUGGUCGAAGGAGGAUAUUUUUUCUCGAAUUUGCAUGAAUUUUGCACGUUAGGGUUUUGUUUUCUUUGCCCUUCUUGAUGUUGUGUAUUCUUUGUUUGAUCUCUUGUGAAAAGCGCAUUUUGGUGAAAUUGAUCCUUUCUAUUCAUUGUUCUGAUCAGUUAAUACAUGCUUGUAUAUCUCCUAAUUUGGAUUAUUAACUUAUAUGAUGUUAUUGCGUUUCUUCUUCGUCCUUUGGUGUUAUUCUCUAUAUCAUCUGCUCAACAUGAAACUGUAGUUUGUGAUCAAUGCUUAAUCUUAUUUGCGAUUACCUGGACUUUGAAUUGGCUUUUGCACGCAAAUUUCAGAUGUUCAUGAGUAAUACAGUGUUUGGUAUUUCCAACUGAUUAGUAAAAUUUAUAUUUGAAUGGUUCCAAACACAACUGAAAAAUAGAAUAUGGAAUUAGCUCUGUAAUUUCAUUGCCAGUAAGGUGUCUUCCACUUUCAACUUCUGUCUACUAAAUAUGUUGGAAAAUGUGAGCAUUACUAGAAUACUAUCGGUACUAAACAGCUCAGUUUACUACCGAUUUGUUUUCGAUAACAGAGCUUCUGACUCGAUGAUUGGUAUCGUUGAAUAUGGUUUAGACCAUUUAAGCUAUCUGGAAAUUAAAUUUUAUGCUUUUUCAAUAUUGUCCUCUUGUCUAUCAAGUGGACAUAAAAUGAAUGGCUGAAAAUGAAUAUCCUUCAAAAAGUAAUGAUACAAUUUUUGUAUUCAAGAUCUAGAGUUUAGAUUUUAUUUUAAAUAAUUUAAAAAAUUUUCUAACAAAAAUUCAGCUGAUUGAAACUCUUCUAUACCGUUAAAUGAGUAAAUGCAAUGUACUAGCCAUUAAAAUUACAAAUUUUGUGACCCUUUGAUCGUUCAUGUAGUGAUGUCGAAAAAGCAUCAAUUUUGCUUUCUAAUUAGUUUAAAUGGUCUAGAUCAUGCUCAACAAUACCGAUCGUCGAUUUAGAAGCUCUAUUAUUGAAAACAAAUCGGUAGUAAACUGAGCCGAUAAAUCUCGGAAAAUGUAUAUAUGAUAUACUUUUGCUUUGAUAUUAUAUUUUGCUCAUGCACUCUUUAGAAUUUUUCAACAUGUUUGUCAUUAGCUUAUCCAAUAUGCCACAGGGGUAAUCAAUCACCUUAGAAGGAAAUCCUACCCCCUCUCUUCUUGUGUAGCCAUAAAGAUUAGGUAAAAAUAUAUGGAACUUAUCUCAACUAUGGGCCAUUUGAAUUUGACUAUCCAAUUUUUUUGUAAUUUUGAUUUUACUGCCAAACCUUUUAAUUUGUUUGAUUUGAGCCAGUCAGUGGCACUUUAAUUCUAAAAUUUAAGCUAAUUAUUUAUUUUAAUUAACUUAUAGUUGUGAUAAUUCACUUAUAUAAUUGUAUAUUAUAUACUAAAUAAGUAUAUAAAAAUAAACGAUGCAUUCAUAUUUUGAAGUUAAAGUGCUGUUGACUGACUUAAAUCAAACAAAUUGAAAAGUUGGGCAGUUAAAUCAAAAUUUUGAAAUAUUGGGUAGUCAGAUCCAAAGGUUUCAUAAUUCAGAUAAGUUCCAUACGAUUUUACCUAAAAAUUGUGCAGGAAGUGUGCUUAAUAAGUUUUCUUCUUUAGCCUUCUGGAUAUAUACUCUAUAUUUUUCUUUCACUAAAACUUCUCCUGUGUACUUUGUUUACGGUUUAAUUGCGCUACUAGUCCCUGAACUUUCAGUUUUGUCUUACUUUGUUUCACUCCAGUCCCUGACAUCUUUACGCUGCUUUUUUUUCAUAUAAAACUUGAUUAGAAGUUUUUGUGCAAUUUAACCAAGAAGCAAACUUGUAGCGUCAUUAGAUAUUGAAUUCUGUAUAUUGGUGGAACACACUUAUCUUUUAGGGCCCGUUUGGUUCGAGUUAUAUAAUAUUACAAAGUAUCUCGACAUAUCCAGUUAUCUUGAAUUUUGGCGUGAGAUUACUACUGAUGCUGCACUAGCGCGAUUGGUUUAAUGCAGUAACGUAAUACUAGAUUACAGUGUUUAUAGCAUUAAUACGUUUGGUUCAGUUUAUAUAAUUUAGUAAUCCUGACAUAAAAGUAUAGUAUUUUCAAAAUUGCCUUGUUGUGGUCAUUUGAAUAUUAUUUUUUUACAAAAUAUAAUUUGCGGUAGUAAAAUAUAAUUUGCAGUAGUAAAUUAAUUUACAAAAAUAUAAUGUGCGAGAGAGAGAGAGAGAGAGAGAGAGAGAGAGAGAGAGAGAGAGAGAGAGAGAGACUGAGGCUUUUCUUAAUACUAUAUAUGGAUAGAGAGAAAGGGAUAGAGAUAGGAUAACUCGAACCCAACGGACCCUUAGCUUAUUUGGGAGAUACAUUGAGGCUUUUCUUAAUACUAUAUGUGGUAGAUGCUUUUAUUUGGACUUGCCAGUUUUUUGUUUUAAUUAGUUAUUAGUUUUCUAUUACCUUAAAUUGUGGAACUUUACCCUUUUUUUUCCUUGUUUGCUGCAGAAACGAAGAACGCGGAGCUAGGCAUUUCAAAUAGAAGAAUAUAUUUUUCUUUUUUCCCUUUUUUUUCCCCCUAAUCUUUUACUUACGAGUCUUUAAUGGGCAUGAAAGAGAUUAUUCUAACUUCUGUUAACCAUUUUAUAGUUGAAUAAUGUUAGUGUGUUGUACUAACUUGUUUUGAUGAUUAGUGCCCCAAUUGUUAUGAUGUGAAAGAUCAAGAAAUUAAUUUCUUUUGUCUUUGCUUCUUCACCUUUUGUAUUGUUAUAGUAGGGUUGUCAACAAGCUGAACAGGAGCGAGAUGGGUCGGCUCGUGUUUGCUCGUUUAUUAAACGAGUGGAACACGAAUUGGUUCGUUAAAAUAUUGAGUUAAAAAAUUUAGUUCGUAUUCGGCUUAUUAAUAAAUGAGAAUAACACAAGUUGGCUCACGAAUAGCAAAUUAGUUUGUCAGCUUCAUUAAACUUGGUAAAAAUUUGAGAGAAUUUUUUGAAAAUUACAAUUUUAAUUUGAUAAUUAAAUUUUAUAAAAUAUUGGUCUUUUUAUAUUUGAGUUGGUCUAAAAUAUAGAAAAAAAUUUGUACUAAUUAUUAUAUAUAUAUAAAUAUUAUUAUAUUAUAUUUAUGAUAUAUAAUAUGUCGCUAUGUGUUUGUAUAAGCACUAAGCUUGAGGUUGUGAUUGAUUUACCUGUUAAUCUCGUUUUGAUUAUUUCAUCCGUUAGAGAAAUAUAUAUUUCACCAAUUACAAGACCCUCAACCUAGGUUGGGUCUACUCAUUCUAAGACACAUCUCUAUCUAAUGGCGAAACAUUACUAAGCACAAUGGUUGGUAUUUUCAUAUAGAGAGUAACCGGGUAACAAUGAUCAAGGUUGAUAUACGGUUGCGUGGGGUGGUUGGUUGAUGUAUAAUCUAUGGGUGAAAAUGAUCAAAGUGAUAGAUUCUACGGUAAAAAUUCCAGACCAAGUGUUGCUUUUACAAGACUAGCGGAAUAAAUAUAUAUAUAUAUAAGCAGGGCUACUGUGCAUUAGGAGACAGACAGCACUUGUGCUUCUAACUUUUAAGCCACAUAGUUUGAUGUUGGAUAUAGAAAUGAGAGGGGAUGGAGAUUUGACGAGAUUGGGUGUUUAAUUUUUUCUUCUCUUGAAUUUCUCUUUAUAUAUAUAUAUAAGCUGUAUAACUAUCUGUAUUUCGGAGGUCGUGAUACCAAGUUGUUUUUAAUGAUGCGCGGCUUACAAAUCGGAUAUUUGACUCCGUUAGGAUUGACUCACUAUGAAAGAUAUUUGAAAUAUUUCUAAUUUCAGUUUUAUUAUCACGAUAGUCUAAACGAAUGGUAAAAAUAAAAUUUUGAUAAAUAAUGAUGAUAAACGACUUGAAUUUAAGAUCAAAAGUACUGAUUUCACUCUAAAUAGUGAAAAGAAUUUUCUAUAAAAAUUUCAUCAGAUUUUGAUUGUUUUACACCGUUAAAUUCACAAACGCAUCACAUCAACCAUUAAAAUUGUCAAUUUUAAGACCUUUCGAUCACUAGCCAAAUGAUGUCGAAAAAUUAUGAAAUUUAGUUUUCAAAUACUUUUAAUAGUAUAGAUCAAAUGUAACGGAGACGAUUUGAAGCAAGCCCUCUACUAUAUAAUAAUAAUAAUAAUAAUAUAUCCCUCUCCGCCCCUCUCUCUCUCUCUCUCUCUCUCUCUCUCUCCCCCUCUUCUCAAGUUUUGCUCACCAUGGCAUUGAGAGGCGCCAUUUUUCUCCGCCCACAACCUCACCCUCCUCCUCUCCCCUCUCCCUCUCCCUACGCCCGUCGCUUCCGCCGCUCCCUCGUCGUCGUCGUCGCUGCCGCCGCCGCGAGUCGUCGGCGGCGCCCGCAAAACGCCGAUGGCGAGUUCUUCGUCGGUGAGCGAGAUUCGGAACCUCAUCUCGUCGAUCUUACUUUCGUCUGGAAAACAAAAUUCGAAAUUUUGUGAAUCGGAGAAAGGAAAAUUGAAAGCGUUUUUGAAACUUUGUGGGCCUUUUAAUGCGUAAAAGUGGUAUUUUUAACUACCAGGACACCCCCCCUAGUCCCACGUCGACUAAGAAAGGAGCUAAUUUAAUUUGUAGCAGUUUUUGACUCAGAUGUUUAGUAUUGUUGCCAAAAAGUUCUAUAAGCCAAUUUAGUUCACGAAAGAGUAAUGUACCACUAACUUAGAAGUUAUAUAGCAGUGCUGUGAUUAAUGUAAUAUGUCUCAUUAUUUUUAUAUCAGCGAUGCAUUGAUAUUUAGUCAGCUAAAUUGGNCAUGAUUUAAACUCAAAUUUUUAAUUUUAAUGUAAAAUCUAUUGAUAGGAAUACUUUCUUUUAAGAGAUUGAUCACAACCAAUAAUUUUUAUUUGAAAUAUAUUUUAACAAAUUAAUCAUUACCAUUCGUGGGAUUUGACAUAUUGAUAUAUAAGAAUACUAUUUUUUAACAGAUUGAUCAUAAUGAGAUAUUUUUUUAACAAACUGAUUAUAACCGUUCGUAGGGAAUAUUCGUUUAUUCCUUUUUGGAUUCCGUCUGUCGUUGUCGGAAUUCCUAUACGCUUUUAUAUAUAGUAUAGACAUAUAUAUAAAAUUGAGCUGUUAUACUUUUAAAAGUAUCAAGUUAUAGUGCUUAUAGUUUUCGGCUCUUGGAUGUGCAAUUAGGAUGUUGGUCGGUCCCUAGAGUUGAGUAAGUGGUUGGUUAAAUCGUACAAUCUAAUGGGUGAAAAUAGUUAACGGGAUAGCUCUAACGGCGGAAAACUUAUAAGCAUCGUGUGCUUGGUGCUUUUAAAAGCACUAUAGCCAGACUCUCUCUUUCUAUAUAUAUAUAUAUAGAGAGAGAGAGAGAGUUCGCCUAGGGUGUUUUCGGAAGUAUAAAGUAGUUCGUGCUUCUAACUUUUUUAGUUCUUAGAUCAACCCGCUUGUCCAUUUUUAGUCCUUGAAUUAAUAUUAUUUUUCUAGGAAAACUACUAAUCUUUAGGAGGACUACUCAACCCUUGGGGGACUACUAUCAUCCCAACUUUAUAAUCCUUGAUCUAAGGGCGAAAGUCAAAAGCACUAAUUCCUAUGUUUCCGAAAGUAUAGUAACUCUACAAUAUAUAUAUAUAUAGUUGGACUGGGCUACUAUUAGUAGCAAAAUUUUAUUGUUGCUACCAGUUUUUUAGCUUUUGGAUCAACUAUUUUCAUCAUUUCUAACAAUUGGAUUAAAUACUAUAACCCAGUGGGGACCACUCAACCCUAGGGGGACUACUCAACUCUAACUGCGUAAUAUCAUCCUAACCCUACAAUUUUUCAUCCAAGGGUUAAAAACUUGAUAGCAAAAAGAGGGUUUUACUAUUAAUAGUAUUCCAGUCUAAUUCUCUCUCUCUCUUCUCCUCUCCCCCCUCUCUCACUCUGUCGUCUCGCUCCGUUCUCCGGUCUCUCUCUAUAUAUAUAUAUAUAUAUAUAUAUAUUAUAGAGUGAGGCUACUAUGCUAUCGGAAGCACGGCGCCUUCUGUGCUCCACUCAUUUUCGAUGUUUGUGACUUUCGAAUCGUCGAUCGGCUCCGUUAAAUUUGACCUAGAGUAUUGAAGUAUCUAGAAAAUAAAUUUUAUGAUUUUACGAUAUCAUUUGCCUAGUGAACGAGAGGGCUUAAAGAUCAACGGCUGAAAUAAAAUCUUAUAAAAUUGUAAUAAUAUGACAUUAAAAUUUUAAAUCAAAGAUAUUGAUCUUGUUUUUAGAUAUUUAAAGAAUUUCUAUCAAAAUUUCACGUGAUUUGGAUUAUUCUACACCGUUAACUUGCAAACGGCUCACUACCACCAUUGCAAUUUUGAUUUUGAGCCCUACGAUCACUAGGCAAAUGAUAUCGAAAAAUAUAAAAUUAUUUUCUAGGUGCUUCAAAUACUCUAGAUCAAGUUUAACGGAGCCGAUCGACGAUUCGAAAGUCGCAACAUCGAAAACGACUGGAAGCACGGAAGGCUCCGUGCUUCCGAUAGCAUAGAGCCUCACUCUAUAUAUAUAUAUAUAUAUAUAUAAUAUUAAUAUAUAUAUAUAUAAAGAGAGAGGAGAGAGAGAGAGAAGAGAGAGAUGCGCCCGGCGCGCGUAUCUGGCUGGUAUACUAUCGGUAGCACGGAGGUCUCCGUGCUACCAAGUUGUUUUCAAUGAUGCGGCUUCCAAAUUAACGAUCAGCUCCGUAGAUCUACACUAUUAAAAAUAUUUGGAAACUAAAUUUUAUAAUUUUUCGACAUCAUUUGGCUAAUGAUCAAAAGAUUUCAAAAUUGACAAUUUUAAUGGUAGAUGUGAUGCAUUUGUGAAUUUAACGGUAUAAAAUAAUUCAAAUCUGAUGAAAUUUUUAUAGAAAUUUUUUUUUAUUAUUUAGAGUAAGAUCAAUAUCUCUGAUCUUAAAUUUAAGUUUUUUAUCAUUAUUUUUAGUUUGCAAAUAUUUUCAAUAGUGUAGAUUAAGUCUAACGGAACCAAUCGUCGAUUUGAAAACUUCAUCAUUGAAAAUAAUUUGGUAGUACGGAGGCUUCCGUGUUACCGAUAGUAUACCAGCCUAGCUCUUGUAUCGCAUCUACCAUUAAUUUUCUCUCUCUCUCUAGAUAUAUAUAGAGAGAAAGUCCAACUGUGGUACUUCCAGUAGAAUAAAGAAGUUGAUACUUCCAAUUUUUUUAACCCUUAGAUUAAUCCCAUUUCUAGCUAAGCUUAUUUUUAACUAAGUUUAUUUCCAAAUGAAAUAAACGAAGCGGGUAGCAUGCUACCUAUCUCUAAAAAAAAAAAAAAAAAAAACCCUUAGAAUAAUCCUUUUCAUCGUUUCUAUUCAUUGAAUUAAUAUCAUUCCGUUAGAAGAACCACCAAACCCUAAGGUAUCGUUUGGUUUGGAAAUAAGGAAAAGGUGGCUAUGAUUAUAUAUCCGCAUUUUACUUUCUCAUUAAUAAUUCAAUAUGAAACAAUCUACAUAUUAAGUAAUAUAAUUUGUUACUUUAACAAAAAGAAACAGUACUCAACAGGCCAACUAAUAAAAAGUGAAAAUGAUCCGGUUCAUCGAUACGAUAAAUAUCAAAAAAGAGUCGAGAAAAAGAAAAAAAAUAAAGCAUGCAAAUGCUAACGUGGUUUAGCCAUUUGCCUAAGUCCGUACGAUCCAAAAUUAAAUUAGAAUUUUCUAGAGAGAUGCCAUGAAUUGUAAUUAUUUUAACUCUAUUAGAAAUAGAUUACAAUUUAAAGUUGGUCUAAACAAAAUGGGUCGGCUUGAUUUAGUGCACAUGUUUAGAGCCGGGUCGGACUGAAUCUUCUAAGCCUCCGGCCCAGCACGGCCCUCCUACCCGAAGGCAUGGGCCGUGCCCGGGACUUGCCCCUUAAUAUUUUUUUGUUAUUUUUAAUUUUUUUAAAAAUAUUAUAAAAUUUAAAGAUAUGAAAAAUUAAGAGUCCGGCCGGAAUGAUUUUAAUAGCAGCAAGUGCUUGAUGCUACUAAAUUUUUCACCGUUAGAUUUAUUUCUUUGACCAUUUCUAUUCAUUAAAUCAUACGAUUAAACUAACCAGACACUCGAUCUCAGGAGAUCGCUACCAUCUUAACUGUACAUUUCUUUAUCCAAGAACCGAAACUUAAUAGCAUCAAUUACUUUGUGCUAUUAAAAGCAUUCCAGCCUAAUUCGAAAGAUUAAAAUAUUUAUAUUUUAAACUGAUAUUUUGAUCAGAAAACUUAAAAUUUAUUAAAAAAAUAUUAUAAGAUAACAAAUAGUAUAAUUUUUUUAAAAAUAAAAAUUUUUAUUUUUGUCACGCCCCGGAUGUCUCGUUCCCCGGGCACGCCGACAAAUCCGCCGUAUACAAAAAAAAUUUUCUGUAUACGAAGCGUCAACAGUACCUAUAGAUAUGCAAUACUACAAACAGUAGCAUAGAGCUGCUAAAUAAACAAAAGCUAAACCAACUGAGCUUCAUGUACAUAGUUCAGAAACCAAAAUACAACGUUACUCGCACUGGCGAGUUAAGUACUAUGUACAUAAGCUCGAAGUAAAACAACUACCUGCUGUGGGGUGCCUCUAGCUCUGUCAGUCGGGUAGGGCUCUAGCUCGCGACGCCCUUGCCUCGAUCCUGAUCCGCGGAAGGCGCAGCAGCCAAAACCUGUGGCUCUGCAAAAACAUAGGUAACAACUGGGCGUGAGAACUACUGUUAAAACAAGUAGUCAUCAGUGGGUACCGCCCAAAACAACAUCGGUCCACCCACUAAGUCUACAGAAGGGAGUAAGAGUAGUCAGAAAAGCAGGAAAUAAACUCUACCGCUAUCGAUCACUACACUAUCAUGCUCUACACUAACCAACUGUAGGAAAUGUCAAAUCUGACCCAAUCCAAUCGGGACUGUAAGCAUACCCGUCCCCGGGACUGUGAAUACACCCGUCCCUGCCCCGUUGCGACUAUCGGGCUCUAUCCACACUAACUGGUCCGUGGAGAGCAAGUCCAACUGGCAUGAGCGACACCAACGCGAAAGCACAAAGCCUGACUCCGGAGUGGCACUCGUGGGCGCUACCCAACCGAGUAUGCAGCGUAUCUCUGUCGAGCUCAAUCAGGCUCCAACUAGCCAAAGUCAAGUGAACAGGGUCAAAACAGGUCUACAAACCAAACCCACGUGCCCUCGGCACAAUCUGUGACCAAAACAAGAAUCUGGGUCCACCGCUAACCCGAACGGCACCCAACGACCCGAAACAGCCUAAACUCUGCUGAAAAAUAAGCUCGGCAUCCCAGCACGAGCGUAAAUGCCUUCUAAACUACCCCAGGUAUCCAUCGCAACGAUACUGCAACGAUACAAUCGAAUCACGGCUCCUAGAGCUAAAUCUGGUAGUUUAAGCAUAUGACGAUUCCAAUCGUGUUUUCUCCUAAGUCAAAUCCCAGUCCAACAUGUACAUUUAAGAUUUACUAGUCAUGUUCUCAAUACUGAUUAUAUCCAGGAUAGCAUCACGAAUAUCAAGCUACAACAUGAUUACCGAAACUAAAAAUCAUACAUGUCGACAAUUACGGUACUUAGGAAUAAACCGAUGUAAACCCACCUCGAAAGCUAUCCCCUGGCAGCGGUACACUCUCACAGCUGUGGCGCCACCUGCUGGGUCGAUCGUAGCCCUUCGAACCCAAGGAUCGCGCUAACUCCAAGCUCUACACCAAACAAUUCACCGUUUCAGUCUAGUUUUCGCAGCAGUGGAGUACAACAAGAAUUCGACCAAGCUAACCUUCACCAAAAUUCACAAGUAAGGGCUUCGUAGAUUUCUCUCGAAGUUCCGAAUCCAACGAACCAAGUCUCGUCGCAAUCCGAUACUCCUACGUCGAGAACGAGCUGAAAUACUAACAGUCGACGGUGGAUUUCAGCAAACAAUAAUUUACCGAGUUGAAGUAGUAAAAACUUGCCCAAAAUCCAGGAAAAUGCUGAAUUACUCACCUCGACAACACCGGGCACCGCUGCGACAGAAAAACGGCGAAAACUUCUGCUCGCCCGGCCUUCUCGCGCUACCGGGCGUCAAACACGAGCUCGAACGACUCCGCGGCGCGAUGUCGACGAUGAAAUCCGAACUCCACCCGAGCUCCACCGUGCACAAGAACCCAGCUAGAGAGAGAGAGGAGAAUAAGAAAAGCUUCCUCUCUCUGCUCUACACCACACUAUAAA
rnacentral:lncRNA from 1 species